GGUAUCUCGGUAAUUCAAGACACUUCGACAGGUUAAAACAAGACCAGCAACACCGCCCGAAUGUGCCGACAAAUCCCGAUAGGAGCUGCACAUAUCUCUUUCUCAGGGCACACUCAGAUUGUCUUAGGUACGGGUAGGCCAGCCCAGAGUUGCCCCUGGUGGCCACCGGCAGCUGACAGGUGGACCAACACUCAGAGGAGCACUGGCCCGGGGGGGGGGGGGUUAAAAUAAUGAUGACCCUUGAGUCUGCAGAACCCAAGGGAAAAAAAGGCUAGGUGGCAAAUGGUAAAACCAAGGUUGGGCAUUGCUGGAAAAACUUUAAUCAAGGCGAACUAUCAAGGGGUUCCCAUUAUAACCCAACCGCGUAAGGAACGCAAAAUCCGGGAACAUAACACCGAUAUGACGGAAACUAGGGCGGCAAGAGUGGAACAAAACACUAGGCGAGAGGCCGAGCCUUCCACCCUUUACCAAGUAUAUAGAUGCAUUAAGAUAACAAGGCAAUAUAAUGAUAUCCCAACAAGUAAAUAAAUGUUCCAACAAGGAACGACCUUCAAUCUUCACCUGCAACUAACAACGCUAUAAGAGGGCUGAGCAAAGCGGUAACAUAGCCAAUCAACGGUUUGCUAGGACAUGGUGGGUUAGAGGUUUGACAUGGCAAUUUGGGAGGCUUGAAAGCAAGUGGUAGGCAUCGUAGCAUUGUCAUAGCAAAAGAGCGAGCAAACUAGCAUAGCAAAGAUAGUAGUGAUUUCGAGGGUAUGAUCAUCUUGCCUGCACAGUUGUCAGAGUUGACUGGAUCCUCGAAAGCAAACUCAACGGGCUCCUCGUUAGCGAACUCGUCUCCUGACUCUACCCAAAGAAGACAAGCAAGCAACAAGGACACAAUCAACCACGUGCAAGGAUCAAACAAGACGAUGCAAAGAUGGUAUGCUAUGCGGGAUGCGAUGCGGGGUGCAUAAUGCAAGAUAUGACAGGAAAUGCAAGAACCUGGCAUCAACUUGGAAAUCCAAGUGUGUCACUGGAAAGGUCAGAUGAAAUCGCUUGAAAACGAUAUAAAGAACGCCGGAAUCGGAGUUACGGUUUGGAAAUGGCAAGCGAUUCAAAUAUGACACCUGUCUAUAAUUUACAGCAAGUAGCCAUCUAAAUGCAAUGAGAUGAACAUGCUACAGCAUCCAAACAUGGCAACAAAAUACAUGGCAGGAAGUCAUUCAAGAUGCUUAACAAAAGUCUAGCACUGAGCUACGGCCAAUUCAUCCAUUAACAGGUUCAAACAAGCAUGGCAAAAAUGCAUUUGGUAAACACAUUUCAAACUUAAUGAAAUUAACACUUGUCUAGAAUAUCAGAUCAGAUAGCACACUUUGGAGCAUGAAAACUAUAUGCUACAGGUGCUGAACAUGACAAAGUAAAGCAUGACAUGGAGCUACUCAAAGAGCUUAACAAAAGUCCCUUAGUGACCUUGAGCCAAAAGGGAUCAGAAAGUACAAUUGCAAGCAUGUGAACAUAGCAAAAACAUAAGCAGAUCACAGACUUAGUGAAAAACUGGCACAUGCUGAAACAUAUCUCAAGUAGGCAUGUUUACGAGCUCGAUGCACUCACCACAGGGCAAGUCAUGACAAACUAAGCAUACACCCAUUAAGAAGGCACAAAAUGCAAGCUAGACAUGUCAAGAACAAUAGCAUAGCAUGCACGGAUCAACUACAACAUCAUCGGCAAAAUUGCAAACAAGUUGACAAUCUGCCCAGAUUCGCAAAGUAGCGAAAGUAGAGCUCGAUUGACUCAAGCUAGGAUGCUCCAUAAUUGCAAACAAAGACAUGGAUGGAUAGAGAACUACAAUAUUAACAAAACAUCCUUACUGAUCAUCCUCAAAAGAGGCACUGAUCACUAGGAAACAACAUGAACAUAUGGCAUCAUCAGAUAAACAGCUCAAGGACUUAGUGGAAAUGCUAAGUCCCUGAAAACAGAAUUAACAAGUGCACCACUUUGCAAGCUUGUACUAGUCACCUCACACAUCACAAAAAUACAUGGGUUGCACCUCUAGAGAGAUGACAAAACCCUUAACAAAACAUAUGUAGAACUCAUGGGCAUAGCAUGCACACAAUAAUCAUGGCAAAAAUGACAAAAAACUAAAUGGAGCAGCAGAUCUGACAAUUUUCUCAAGUAGCCCUCUUCUAACAGCAUUUCGGGCAUCAAGAUGAACUCAAAUGAAAAUGAUGCAAUGGAAUUAAAUGAUGUACCCUCUGAGGUGAACAUUUUGAUAUGCUAUAUGCAUGAAUCGGAGCUACGGAUGCAAAGUUACGAGGCUAUGAACAGGAGCACUUGGAUCUGGAAUUUUUGGACUUAGACGAAAUUCAACCUCGCAGAAAAAGUCAACUCGGGACACGGAAGCCGAGGCGGUGGUGGAUCUCGCCGGAGCUCCUCGCCGGAGAGGGGAUCCGGCGACGAGGAGGACAACGGAGGGCGGCGGGNNNNNNNNNNNNNNNNNNNNNNNNNNNNNNNNNNNNNNNNNNNNNNNNNNNNNNNNNNNNNNNNNNNNNNNNNNNNNNNNNNNNNNNNNNNNNNNNNNNNNNNNNNNNNNNNNNNNNNNNNNNNNNNNNNNNNNNNNNNNNNNNNNNNNNNNNNNNNNNNNNNNNNNNNNNNNNNNNNNNNNNNNNNNNNNNNNNNNNNNNNNNNNNNNNNNNNNNNNNNNNNNNNNNNNNNNNNNNNNNNNNNNNNNNNNNNNNNNNNNNNNNNNNNNNNNNNNNNNNNNNNNNNNNNNNNNNNNNNNNNNNNNNNNNNNNNNNNNNNNNNNNNNNNNNNNNNNNNNNNNNNNNNNNNNNNNNNNNNNNNNNNNNNNNNNNNNNNNNNNNNNNNNNNNNNNNNNNNNNNNNNNNNNNNNNNNNNNNNNNNNNNNNNNNNNNNNNNNNNNNNNNNNNNNNNNNNNNNNNNNNNNNNNNNNNNNNNNNNNNNNNNNNNNNNNNNNNNNNNNNNNNNNNNNNNNNNNNNNNNNNNNNNNNNNNNNNNNNNNNNNNNNNNNNNNNNNNNNNNNNNNNNNNNNNNNNNNNNNNNNNNGUGGCGCGCCCCGGUUGGCGGCAGCUAUUUGUCCAGGGGGGGGGCGGACAUGUCCGGCGCGGCAGAAGACGGAUCUAGGGUUUUCGGGGGUAGAAGAAGACCCGGAGUUCGGAGGGGUCUUUAAAUAGGCAUAGAGGGAGCUAGGAGAGUCCAAAUGAGGUGCGGUUUUCGGCCACGCGAUCGUGAUCGAACGCUCUAGAUGAUGGAGCAGGUUUAGGUGGGAUUUGGGCCAAAUUGGAGGGGUGUUGGGCUGCAACACACACGAGGCCUUUUCAGUCCCUCGGUUAACCGUUGGAGUAUCAAACGAAGUCCAAAUGAUACGAAACUUGAUAGACGGUCUACCGGUAGUAAACCAAGGCCGCUUGGCAAGUCUCGGUCCAAUCCGGAAAUGUUUAAUCCCCACACACGAAAGAAAGCUAGAAAUGACCACCGAAGGAGAACGAAGCGCCGGAAUGCAAAACGGACAACGGGGAAAAUGCUCGAAUGCAAGAGAUGAACACGUAUGCAAAUGCAAUGCACAUGAUGACAUGAUAUGAGAUGCAUGACAACGAUAACAACACACGGAGACAAGACCCAAACCCGAGAAAAAUAAAUAACUUAACGCCGGAAACGGCAAGAGUAGGAGUACAAAUUGGGAAAGUUACAUCCGGGGUGUUACAGCAGACCAGUGAGCUCAAUGAUAUCAAAGGCUUUGGCUUCGUGAUGAACAUUGCCUGUCAUCCACUCAAGGACCCAAGUCUUCGGAUCUCUGUUGUAGCCACGAAUAUGAACAGUGGCAUAGAAUUGGAGCAGCAAUUCUUCGUUCCAGUGCUCCUUGUCAGUGAUGAACGACAACAAUCCAGACUCUCUGAAGCAAUCCAGAGCUUCUUCCAAACAAGGCAGACUAGUUAUGGCUUCAGUGUCAAGGCGCAUAUGUGGGAAAAUGCGACCUUGAUUGUACAGAAUGCAUGAGUAAUAACUGCGCUGCUGAUAGCUCCAGAACCGAUCAGAAGAUAUUCUUGCCUUUGAGUAGGGGUUCUUGGCGCUAUUGAAGAAGGUGUUGUGUGCCUUGAAGCCAUUGAUAUUAAAAGAUCCAGGUGCAGAUGCAGUACCUGGAAACCUGGGAAACCUUGGCAUUGGCUUCUGAACCUGAGGCCUGUGCUCAACGUGAUAGUCAAACUGAGGACCAGCAGCAGGCGGAGGAGUCAGAAAAGGCCAUUUUACAGUGAUAAGUUGGCCAUAGUUGAAUGCUUGCUCGAUAGUGUGUGGCCUUGGUGGCGGAACAGGAGCAGUGGCAUCAACAGAGGCGCCAGGCUGCACAUCUAUUGCAGGUGCAUCAUUGGCUUCAUUGGCCUCUGGCACAUUGGUUGGUGCAGGCUCCACAUUUGCUUCAGCCAUGACUACGUCAUUGGCUUCAUUUGUGUUGGUGGUGGCAUCCUCAAGAUUCUCAACCUCCACUUGAUGAGCUGGAGGGUCGGGCACAGACACAUUCACUUCAUGAACAGCUUCUUCAGAGAUUGGGGGUGUAGGGACACGAUCUUCUUCUUGUUUGUCAUCGACUGAUGCAGCCGGAUUGUCUUCAGCACCUUUGGCUUCAGACACGGAGACAUUCACAGUCGGAGUGGCAUCUGGAAACACUUGACGUGCAACAGAUUGAUGGUGCACUUCUCCUUCUGGAACGCUCGAAAGAGGGACUUGAGGCCUUGGUCCUUUGCGAAGCCUGCGUAGCGCUGGCGACGCCUGUGGAGAUGGAGUUGGCUGGGCCUCAAAGUCAUCAUCUUCUUCUUGUACGGGUGGUGUGACUUGAGUACUCGGGGUGUCUUGUUGUUGUGGGUGAUCAGCCCAUGAUGCAUCCUGAGCAAUUGGCGUCAGAGGACGACCAAUGCUGAUGAGUUUACUGUUCAUGAGAACAGGCGAUGAUACCAAGUUGUGCUCGAUCUGAGGAAGAACUACAUCAUCUUCAACAUUGUCAUGGUGGCCAAUGUCUUCAGCAGCGGUGAGAUCAACUACUGGAAUGUCUUCAGCGGUGGGAACAAUCAGUUGGCGCUCGUGGUGUUCAGAUGCAGGGCGAACCAUUGAGAUAGGUUCAACAACUAAGGGCUCUGUGGGAGCAGCCCGAUCCUUCUUGGUUUUGCGCUUCUUCUUAGAGGGAGCGACAUCAGAAGCUUCAGGAUUUUUCCUUUUUCUGGCUUCAGCCUCGGCAGUCCUCGUCUUCUUCAGUUCUGAAGCGGUUGACCUGACCUUUGGCUUCGAGCCAGUCAUGCUGCUUGGGAAGACUAUGCGAGGUCCUUCUUGCCUUGCAGGUGCAGAUUGGUCUGUUGAUGGCUUCUUCUUCUUUGCAACCAUUCUUGGGUCGAUGCCAGGACGACCAAGAGCCUUGCGCUUCUCAGCCUCAUUGUAGGCUUGCACACACUUGUCAGCCAGGCUCUUCAUGCGCUCACGAGAACAUUUAGCUUCUUCACGCUUCUUGAGAAAGGCUUCUUUGAGCUCGUGCAGCAUGAUCUUGAAGUUUUUAACAUCUUGCACGCUGAGCUUGGCCAUGUGCUUCUUGAACUGAGCUUUCUCAUAGUCGAUCUUUUGCUUCAGUUCAACGAUGCGCUGAGCUAGAGCUAGCUCAGAAGCAAUGGCGCCAGUGAAGGCGGCACUGAGGCCAAUUGGAAGUUGCAGAUCUUCAAAGCUGAGGUUGGGCGUGUCAAACCACUCAUCGAUGAAGUUAUGGAUGAUUGCCACAUCAAAGAGAGGCAAAUCAUUGAAGAUCUCUGCUUCUUCCUUGCUCUUGAUCAGUUGCUCAAGAGCGUCAUCUGCAAGAUCUUCAUCGCUGGACAGAUCAAUGGCGUCAUUGCGCAGAAUAGCAGCAGCAGUCAGUGCCUGAUCAGUAUUCUUUCUCAUCUCAGUCUUCUUGGAGAUACGUGAUAGAUGUUCAGACUGCACACUGUCUUCAGGAGGUGCAGUAGCCAGUGGCUUCGCAUGUAAGACCUUUGGUGCAGGAGCAGGCUUUGAAGCUUUAGGCUUCUUCAGUUUCUUUGGCUUCGGCGGUGCAGGCGCUUCAUCAGAUUCAGCCUCAUCUGCAGGCUCAUCCACGGAUGUCCCUUGAACCAUGAUAUGAGUGAUGAGACCUUCCAGGUUGUAGAAGGGCCCAACAAGAUUGGGUUCAGCUUCGCGGGUGCCAUCGGCACGGGGAGCAGAAGGACCAGGGUUGAAGUCUAGUCCCGAUGACUUCUUGUUUUGCUUAGCCGAAUUCUUGGCAAAAUGGAAGUUGCGCUUGAACAGAUUGUCGUCACGACACCAUAGCAAUGACGAUGGGUCUGCAUCCGCAGGCUGUGGUCCACGGACCAUGCAGGGAUAGAAGCCUUGUUCAAUGGCUUCAUCUCUAGACCUGGGUUGAAGAUUUCUGUAUAGGAUGUCUCCCCAUGGUCGCUUGAUGGCAUUCUUCUCAGCAUAUUCCUGGGUCACAAACCUGUACUUGAACCAUUGCUCAACCCAGUAUCUUCGAAUCCAUUGGAUUCGUGUCUUGCGCUGAUUGUAAUCCUCUUCUGGAUCUGUCUUGUACAGCUCUGAGAGGUCAUCAGGCAGAUCUCUUGAUGUUCCCCCUCGACGCUGUCUGCCAUCCUUCCUUGCUGAUUUCUCUGUAGCCAUGAACUUCAAACUGAAUGGCUUCAACACGUUCAAAGGUUUCAAAGGCUUCCGCUUGCUGGUCAAAUAGGAACUAGCUUCGGGAGAAUUUAUAUGAUGCUGUAAGAAUUCUGCAAAUGAAUGCAGACUAUGAGAACCAAGGGAUUCUCCCACGGACAUGUACCUGUGACAGCAUUAAGGUGCGAGGGAAGGGGAAGAGGUCAUAUGCAUUCUCAGAAGAUUUUGAAGAUAAAUCAGUCUAGAAGACAUUGACCUCAUAGUGCGAAGACAUUCACUCAUAGAUAGAGAGUUGGUUCCAGAUUUGUACGAAUCCACGAAUAAGUACAAGUGAGGAAUCUAACUACUUUAUGAAGUAUAAGUGAACAUACUAGGUAUAUUAUGAGAUGCAGUAUGAAAUAGAUCCAACUUGUGUGAACAGAAACUGCUUGUGGUAGAAAGUGAUGAAUCUAUAGGAUCAAAGGGGCCGUAAAAAGGAAGUUUUAUUUACCACACAAAGAACCGCUAGACGGAGUGGGAGAGGAGGCCGAGUAGUUCGAUCAUCCGUGCCCUAACUUGGCGACGGAGGACACCUACGGCGACGGCGGAGAAGACGAUGUCCGCAGCCGGCGUGAAGACGGCGUCGGUGAGGUCGCGACAGCUAAGCGCUUCGUCGCCGGCGUCGUCGAGGGCUAGCGGUGGCGCUAGGGUUUGUGCGAGAGUGGAAGAAAGGAUAAUGACUGAGGUGAGGCGUGUAUUUAUAAGGACAGGGACGGCACAGUGUUAUUACACAGGUGCCCCUGGCGAUUCACAUCUGAAGGGCACGUGGCUAUCAUGCAACAUAUCAGAGGUUGUUCCACGUUCCCACGCAUGCCUGGAUUGUUGGGUGGUCGUUCCCACUUCUCCGGGUUUCAGGUGAAAGGAUUUAGCAUUGAAAACAGACUUAAUGCUUGUCUCUGUAUCUUUUGCUGACAAGGACGCAGAGAAGAAAUUCGACAGUUUCAAUAGAAUGCAUAUGAUUUGGAGAGAUAGAGUUUGAGAUAGAAAGCAUAGAGAGGUUAGGGUCCGAUCACAUUCACUUAGUUCAAAAGAUUUAACAAGAAGACAUAGCUAUAAGUGAAUGCUGUAGAGGACAGAACACUAGUAUAUAUAUAUAUGUAUGUAUAUAUAUAUAUAUAUAUAUAUAUAUAUAUAUAUAUGAAAAAGACAAUCAAAUCAACAUAGUGAAGAUAAUCAUGAAGACAAGUUAAGAUUGAAGCCAAACCAAAUGUGAAGACAUACCAAACGUAACGCCAUGAGUGAAACACUUCAAACAGAAAAAUUUGGUGGUGGCGUUACCCACCGUAUAGGAAGUAUUAGACUCAGACACGGCGCACAAUUAUCGUGGCGCUCCGAAGUCAAAUUCCACAUUAAUGUAUUCACACUUAGAAUGUAAGUCUUUAUUGAUUGAAGAUAUACUUUACUUCGUGUGUUGCACAUCUAAGUCAUCAAUAUGCAUAAGUGUUAGGAUGUGUGCCUGAUCACAGGACAUUUGAGGAUUCCAAGAUAUUUAGCUCACACCGUAACUUGCAAAACCUCUUCUAGGGCUUGGUGAAGAUAUCUGCCAAUUGCUCUUCAGUGUUGACGUGUAUAAUAUCAAUAUCUUCCUUCACAACAUGAUCUCUGAGAAAGUGAUGACGAAUUUCAAUGUGCUUUGUCUUCGAGUGCUGAACUGGGUUGUUGGCAAUCUUGAUGGCGCUUUUGUUGUCACAGUAGAGUGACACUUGCUUCAGAUGAAUGCCAUAGUCUUUGAGUGUUUGCUUCAUCCAUAGAAGUUGAGCGCAGCAAGAUCCAGCAGCAAUGUAUUCAGAUUAAGUAGUGGAGAGAGAUACACAGUUCUGCUUCUUUGAAGACCAACAUACAAGUGAUCGUCCCAGAAAAUGACAUGUGCCUGAUGUAGACUUGCGAUCCACCUUGUCACCAGCAUAAUCAGCAUCCGAGAAUCCAACCAGAUCAGACUUUGAGCCCUUUGGAUACCAUAAUCCUAGUGUUGGGGUGUGAGCCAAAUAUCGAAGAAUUCGCUUCACAGCUAAGUGAUGCGAUUCCUUUGGUGCCGCUUGGAAUCGAGCACACAUGCAAACACUAAGCAUAAUAUCUGGCCUAGAUGCACAUAGAUAAAGUAAAGAACCAAUCAUGGAGCGGUAUACCUUUUGAUCGAACUCUUUACCAUUGUCGUCGGGACCCAAAUGAUGUUUGGCUGGCAUUGGCGUCGUGAAGCCUUUGCAGUCUUGCAUCCCAAAUUUCUUCAGGCAAUCUUUGAGGUACUUCUCUUGAGAUAUGAAGAUGUCGUUGCGUUGUUGACGUAUUUGAAGACCAAGGAAGAACUUCAGCUCACCCAUCAUGGACAUCUGAUAUUGCUCUUGCAUCAUAUAUCCAAACUCGUCUGUGUAUUUCUGAUUGGUGCAGCCGAAGAUAAUGUCAUCCACAUAUAUUUGGCACACAAACAGUUCACCAUCAUAUGUCUUCGUGAAGAGAGUGGGGUCGAGGGAACUAGGUUUGAAGCCUUUGCUCUUCAGGAAGUCUUUGAGUGUGUCAUACCAAGCCCGAGGGGCUUGUUUGAGGCCAUACAGUGCCUUGUUGAGCUUGUACACCAUGUCAGCAUGUUUUGGAUCUUCAAAGCCAGGCGGUUGUGCAACAUACACUUCUUCUUCAAUCUUGCCAUUGAGAAAAGCGCUCUUCACAUCCAUUUGAUAUAGAAGAAUGUUAUGAUGAUUUGCAUAGGCCAGCAGUAUGCGUAUGGCUUCAAGUCUAGUCACAGGAGCAAAUGUUUCAUCGAAGUCAAUCCCUUCAACUUGAGUGUACCCUUGAGCAACGAGACGAGCUUUGUUUCUGACAACUUGACCAUGCUCAUCUUGCUUGUUGCGAUAUAUCCAUUUGGUGCCUAUUAUAUUGUGCUUGCGAGGAUCAGGACGCUUAACCAGUUCCCAUACAUUAUUCAGCUCAAACUGUUGAAGCUCUUCUUGCAUAGCUUGAAUCCAUUCAGAUUCCAUGAAGGCUUCUUCAACUUUCUUGGGUUCAGAUAUUGAGACGAAUGCGAAGUGCCCAUAGAAAUUUGCUAGCUGUGUUGCCCUUGAACGAGUGAGUGGACUUGGUGCAUUGAUGCUAUCAAUUAUUUUCUCAAUCUGUACUUCAUUUGCAACACGAGGAUGUACAGGACGAAGAUUUUGCUCUUGCUGAUCAUUGUCAUCGUUAGAAGGAUUGUCUUCAGGCUGAGCAUUGUCUUCUGUUUGAUCAGGUGCGGAGAUGAUAAGUUCCUCUUCAGGCUGAGAUUUAGAUGGUAUGAUUUCUCCAGUUCCCAUAAGUUUGAUUGAUUCACUGGUUGGAACUUCAUCUAGCACGUUUGGCAAGUGCUCUCUUUGUGAGCCGUUAGUCUCAUCGAGCCGCACAUCCACUGUUUCAACUACUUUAUAGUGAAAAAGGUUGAAGACUCUGUAGGAGUGCGGAUCCUUUCCAUAUCCAAGUAUAAAACCUUCAUGUGCUUUUGGUGCAAAUUUUGAAGUGUGAUGUGGAUCCUUGAUCCAGCACCUGGCACCAAAUACUCUGAAGUAAUUGACAUUUGGCUUCUUGCCAGUAAGGAGCUCAUAGGAUGUCUUGUUGAGAAGCUUGUGAAGAUAAACACGGUUGAUGAUAUGGCAUGCAGUAUCAAUGGCUUCAGGCCAGAACUUUCUUGGAGUCUUGUAUUCAUCAAGCAUCGUCCGUGCCAUCUCAAUGAGUGUUCUGUUCUUGCGUUCCACGACGCCAUUCUGCUGCGGUGUGUACGGAGCUAAGAAUUCAUGUGUAAUGCCCAAAGUAUCAAGAUAAGUGUCCAGACCAGUGUUUUUGAAUUCAGUGCCAUUGUCACUUCUGAUGUGCUUGAUCUUGAUGCCAUAGUUGUUCAUGGCUCGAUUGGCGAAGCAUCUGAAGACAUCCUGCACUUCAGUCUUGUAGAGGAUUAUAUGCACCCAGGUAUAUCUUGAAUAAUCAUCAACAAUGACAAAGCCAUAGAGACAAGCAGUAGUAGUAAGAGUUUAGUAAUGAGUGGGACCGAAAAGGUCCAUGUGGAGCAGUUCGAAGGGUUGAGUCGUUGUCAUGAUUGUCUUCGAGGGAUGCUUGGCCCUCUUCAUCUUUCCUGCUUCAUAGGCACCGCAUAAGUGAUCCUUCUUGAACUUGACGCCCUCGAUGCCUAUGACAUGCUUCUUCCUUGCAAGGGUGUGGAGGUUCCUCAUGCCAGCAUGCCCUAGCCUCCGGUGCCAGAGCCAGCAUUCAGAAGUUUUUGCUAGAAGACAUACAGCAAGUUGUGGUCCUGCUGAGAAAUCUACCACGUACACAUCAUCUUUCCGAUACCCUUCAAACACUAGAGACUUGUCAGAUUCCAUUAGAACAAGGCAACGAUAAUUUCCAAACAUCACAAUCAUGUUUAAAUCGCAAAGCAUUGAGACAGACAUUAAGUUGAAACCAAGGGAUUCAACAAGCAUGACUUUAUCCAUGUGUUGAUCCUUUGAGAUUGCAACUCUACCUAGACCCAAUACCUUGCUUUUACCAGUGUCAGCAAAUGUGAUGUGACUUUUGUCAGAUGGAUGUAAGGUUGAGUCCAUGAGAAGGCUUCACUUGCCAGUCAUGUGAUUAGUACACCCACUAUCAAUAAUCCAUUCUGAAGCAGCUGGUGUCGUACCCUACAGUGCAGUUAGGGGGAUAGGCUUCACGAAGAGAGUUGUGAAGCAUAAACAUUUGACAAGCAAGUGGAUUAUGAAAGCUUAGAUCGAGGUUAGGACUGAUAGGGCAAGUAGCAAGCGACUCAGGAACAAAAUACAUAAUAAGACCAUUUGGGCAUUUGAUCUUGCGCCCUACAAGAUGUUUAAGGUCCCCAACAAUGGCUUCAGACGAUUUUGGUUUUCGGCUGGAGACCUUUCCCUGCAAAAGAGAGUUAAGAUUUCUUAGCCACCCACAUCUUCAAGGGUGGCUUCGAAGCAAUGAGUCUAAGUGCAGCAUCUGAGAACUUUGGCUUUGGAGCCCUAGUAAAAAGUCUUGCAGGUGGACAAUAGUACUCAUAAGGAUAAGCGGAAUAGUUUUUGGUCUUAUGAACAUGGCAGUUUGAUGAAACACGCUCAUAUUCAUAGGCCUGAGUAAGGUUUCCCUGCAAAACAUUUGCGUUAGUGCGACUCAGUGAGUCCUCUGUCUGUAUGAAGCCUUUGGACCAUAUGAAGCCUGUGGUCUGGGGUUUGUCUUCUUCACUUGUGGUGUCAUGACGACAUUCAUAGGAAGAUUCUCCAAACACCUUUUCGGCACCCAGACUUUCUUCAUAGGCGACCCAUUCCUGCAGUUACUACCAAUAUACCUGGCAAACACUUCACCAUUCUGAUUCUUAAAUAGUUUAUAGUUUGCAUCAAAGGAUUCAUCAAUAACAAUGGGAUUAGCACAAGUGAAGCUAGAUAGGGUGGAUGGAUCCGCUGAAGGUUCCUUUGAAGCAACCCAUGUGGUUUUGGGGUACUGCUCAAGUUUCUGGUAAGAGCCAUCAGCAUUCAUUUUCCUUUCGAACCCAACACCCUCUUUCCUAGGGUUUUGGUUCAGGAUCUGCGUUUUGAGGACAUCACAUAGUGUCUGAUGCCCUUUGAGACUUUUGUACAUCCAUGUUUCAAGCAAUGUCUUCAACCUAGCAUUCUCAUCAGCAACAGCAGUGGUAUCCUCAGCAGAGGGGUUAGUUACCACAUCAACAGUUGAAGAUAUUGCAAUAGUAGCAGCAGUAGAACACCCAGCAACAGAAGUAGCGUUGUCACGCUCGAUGCAUUUAAGACAUGGUGGUUCAAAUCCUUCCCGAGCUGAACUGAUCUGUUCGGCGCGAAGUGACUCGUUUUCCUUUUGAAGAUCUUCAUGAGCCGCUCUCAAUUUCUCAAGAUCUUGCUUCCUUUGAAGAUAAUCAUAGGAAAGCUUUUCAUGAGUUGUUGAGAGCAUUUCAUGACGACUUUCAAGUUCCUCAUACUUAACGUGAAGAUUUUUUAUGUCUUCAAUUAAGGACUGAGAUCGAGUCAUUUCAGCGUCUAACAGAUCAUGCUUUUGUCUAACAGUUUUUGAAUAUGUUCCAUAGCUUUCUGUUGUUCAGUUGCAAUUUUAGCAAGUGUUUUGUAGCUGGAUUUGGAACCACAAUCAGAGUCAUCUUCACUAGAUGUUUGAUAGUGAGUAGUGCGUGUGUUUACCUUGGCACCGCGUGCCAUGAAGCAAUAGGUAGGAGCGGAGUAGUCCUUGUCAUUUGCAUCGGUGUCGGUGAUGAAGUCAUUGUCUUCAGUGUUGAAGAUGGACUUGGCAACGUAUGCUGUAGCCAGACUCGCAACGCCAGAAUCGGACUCCUCCUCAGACUCCACCUCCACCUCCUCAGAAGCGGACUCCUCCUCUGAAUCCAUUUCCUUGCCAACAACGCACGUGCCUUGCCAGAUGAGCUCUUCUUGUGUGAUGAAGACUUUGAGGAAGACUUGGAAGAAGACUUUGAGUAUUUCUUCUUCUUCUUGUCGUCAGAGUCAUACUCCUUGCUCUUCUUCUUCUUCUUGUUCUCAUUGUCCCACUACGGACACUCAGAGAUGUAGUGGCCAGGUUUCUUGCACUUGUGGCAUGUUCUCUUCUUGUAGUCAUGAGCAGAAGCUUCAUCAUUCCUUGAGCUUGAUCGUGAAGACUUUCUGAAGCCUUUCUUCUUGGUGAAUUUUUGGAACUUCUUCACAAGCAUAGCAAGCUCGUUUCCAAUGUCUUCAGGAUCAUCAGAACUGCUGUCAGAUUCUUCUUCAGAUGAGGAGACAGUUUUUGCCUUCAAGGCACGAGUUCGCCCAUAGUUGGGACCGUAGAUGUCUCUUUUCUCAGAAAGCUGAAACUUGUGUGUGUUGAGCCUCUCAAGUAUGUGAGACGGAUCGAGUGUCUUGAAGUCAGGACGUUCUUGAAUCAUCAGGGCUAGGGUGUCAAACGAGCUGUCAAGUGAUCUCAGGAGUGUCUUGACGACUUCAUGCUUGGUGAUCUCAGUGGCGCCGAGACCUUGAAGCUCAUUUGUGAUGUCAGCGAGUCGAUCAAACGUGAGCUCGACAUUCUCAUUGUCAUUUCUCUUGAAGCGGUUGAAGAGGUUGCGAAGGACACUGAUUCUCUGAUCUCUCUGGGUUGAGACGCCUUCAUUGACCUUGGAGAGCCAGUCCCAGACUAGCUUAGAUGUUUCCAAAGCACUCACGCGGCCAUACUGUCCUUUGGUCAGAUGACCAUAAAUGAUGUUCUUGGCAGUGGAGUCCAGUUGAACGAACUUCUUGACAUUAGCAGUGGUGACACCUUCACCAGCCUUGGGGACGCCAUUCUUGAUGACAUACCAUAGGUCGACAUCAAUGGUUUCAAGAUGCAUGCGCAUCUUAUUCUUCCAGUAGGGAUAUUCAGUUCCAUCGAAGACGGGGCAUGCAGCGGAGACUUUAAUUAUUCCUGCAGUCGACAUAGCUAAAACUCCAGGUGGUUAAACCGAAUCACACAGAACAAUGGAGUACCUCACUCUGAUACCAAUUGAAAGUGCGUUAUAUCGACUAGAGGGGGGGUGAAUAGGCGAUUUUUAUGAAAGUCUUCAUUCCUGGGUGUUUUGAAGACAAACGAUAGAAAUGAACCUAUAACCAUGCAGCGGAAGGUAGACUACCCUAGACAAGAAAUAGUCAAGUAUUCAAUGAAGUGAAAGCACAAAGACUAACAGCAGCUAGGCAGUACAGAUCAGGAUGGAAGAUAAUAUGAAACCAAUCUGAACAAACAUUCACACAGUGAAGACAAAUGGACAAUGCAAAUAGGCAAUGACUUCACAAGGACCAACUGUAAAUAAAGAGAUGGGAAGGAUAGAACCAGUGAGCUUGGUGAAGACAAAGGUUUGGUAGACCAGUUCCAAUUGCGGUGGCAGUUGUACGUCUGGUUAGGGCGGCUAGGUAUUUAAACCUGAUGACACACAGUCCCGGACACCCAGUCUUGAACACACAGCUCAGGACACUCAGUCCUCACCGUAUUCCCCUUGAGCUAAGGUCACACAGACCUCGCCCAAUCACUCUGGUAAGUCUUCAAGGUAGACUUCCAAACCUUCACAGACUUCGUUCACUGGCGAUCCACAAUGACUCUUGGAUGCUCAGAACGCGACGCCUAACCGGCUGGAGGAUUCACAGUCCUCAAGUGUAAUAAGUCUUCAGAUCACACAGACAGGAAGACUUAAGUGAUGCCUAACACUCUUUGGCUCUACGUGUUUAGGGCUUUAUCCUCGCAAGGAUUUCUCUCUCAAAGGCUUCGAGGUGGGUUGCUCUCAAACGACAAAAGCCGUACUCUAACUCCGAGCAGCCAACCGUUUAUGGUUGUAGGGGGUGGGCUAUUUAUAGCCACUAGGCAACCCGACCUGAUUUGUCCGAAAUGACCCUUGGUCACUAAGGAACUGUCACGUGUUCCAACGGUCAGAUUUCAAACACACACGACAACUUUACUUGGACUACAAGCAAAGCUGACUUAUCCAACUCUGGACAAGAUUUGCUCUCAUAGUCUUCACUCGAAGACAUAUGAUUUUGGUUAAGCAUCACUUCAGUCAUUCUGACUGGUUUUCUUGGACCCCACUUAACAGUACGGUGGUUCCUAUGACUCAACAAAGAAUAAAAAGAACGACGAAAGAACUAAGUCUUCGCGCUCCAUAGUCUUCAUGCGAUGUCUUCUCUUGUCAUAGUCUUCAAUGUGAAUGUAUUCACAUACCACCUUUGACUUCAAUGUCUUCUUACAUUUUUAGGGGUCAUCUCUGGUAGGAAAACCGAAUCAAUGAGGGACUUCUACCUGUGUUAUCCUGCAAUUCUCACAAACACAUUAGUCCCUCAACUAGGUUUGUCGUCAAUACUCCAAAACCAACUAGGGGUGGCACAAGAUGCACUUACAAGUAGUAUAUGCUUAUAACGCCCCAGACACACCUGCCGGUGGUCGUUACUCAUGGCGGGAUCUAGACUGUGUUGGGGAACGUAGUAAUUUCAAAAAAAAUCCUACGCACACGCAAGAUCAUGGUGAUGCACAGCAACGAGAGGGGAGAGUGUUGUUUAUGUACCCUCGUAGACCGGAAGCGGAAGCGUUAUAACAACGCGGUUGAUGUAGUCGUACGUCUUCACGGCCCGACCGAUCAAGCACCUAAACUACGGCACCUCCGAGUUUUUGCACACGUUCAGCUCGAUGACGAUCCCCGGACUCCGAUCCAGCAAAGUGUUGGGGAUGAGUUCCGUCAGCACGACCGCGUUGUGACGAUCUUGAUGUUCUACCGUCGCAGGGCUUCGCCUAAGCACCGCUACAAUAUUAUCGAGGAUUAUGGUGGAGGGGGGCACCGCACACGGCUAAGAGAUCAAUGAUCAAUUGUUGUAUCUCUGGGGUGCCCCCUGCCCCCGUAUAUAAAGGAGUGGAGGAGGGGGCCGGCCAAGGAGGGUGGCGCGCCCAAGGGGGGAGUCCAACUCCCACCAGGAGUAGGACUCCCCUUUUUCCUAUUAUGAGUAGGAGAGGGAAGAAAGAGGAAGGAGGGAGGAAGGAAAGGGGGGGUCGGCCCCCUCCCAAUUCGGAUUGGGCUUGGGGGGGGGGGGCGUGCCCCCUCCCUUGCUCCUUUCCCCUCCUUUCCACUAAGGCCCAAUAAGGCCCAUAUACCUCCCGGGGGGUUCCGAUAACCUCCCGGUGAUCCGGUAUUGUCCCAAUCUUACCCGGAACCUUUUCGGUGUCCAAAUAUAGUCAUCCAAUAUAUCGAUCUUUAUGUCUCGACCAUUUCGAGACUCCUCGUCAAGUCCGUGAUCACAUCCGGGACUCCGAACAACAUUCGGUACAUCAAAAUAUAUAAACUCAUAAUGAAAUUGUCAUCGUAAUGUUAAGCGUGCGGACCCUACGGGUUCGAGAACAAUGUAGACAUGACCGAGACACGUCCCCGGUCAAUAACCAAUAGCGGAACCUGGAUGCUCAUAUUGGCUCCUACAUAUUCUACGAAGAUCUUUAUCGGUCAGACCGCAUAACAACAUACGUUGUUCCCUUUGUCAUCAGUAUGUUACUUGCCCGAGAUUCGAUCGUCGGUAUCUCAAUACCUAGUUCAAUCUCGUUACCGGCAAGUCUCUUUACUCGUUCCGUAAUACAUCAUCUUGCAACUAACUUAUUAGUUGCAUUGCUUGCAAGGCUUAAGUGAUGUGUAUUACCGAGAGGGCCCAGAGAUACCUCCCCGAAAAUCGGAGCGACAAAUCCUAAUCUCGAAAUACGCCAACCCAACAUGUACCUUUGGAGACACCUGUAGAGCACCUUUAUAAUCACCCAGUUACAUUGUGACGUUUGGUAGCACCCAAAGUGUUCCUUCGGUAAACGGGAGUUGCAUAAUCUCAUAGUCAUAGGAACAUGUAUAAGUCAUGAAGAAAGCAAUAGCAACAUACUAAACGAUCGGGUGCUAAGCUAAUGGAAUGGGUCAUGUCAAUCACAUCAUUCUCCUAAUGAUGUGAUCCCGUUAAUCAAAUGACAACUCAUGUCUAUGGUUAGGAAACAUAACCACCUUCGAUUAACGAGCUAGUCAAGUAGAGGCAUACCAGUGACACUUUGUUUGUCUAUGUAUUCACACAAGUAUUAUGUUUCCGGUUAAUACAAUUCUAACAUGAAUAAUAAACAUUUAUCAUGAUAUAAGGAAAUAAAUAAUAACUUUAUUAUUGCCUCUAGGGCAUAUUUCCUUCAGUCUCCCACUUGCACUAGAGUCAAUAAUCUAGAUUACACAGUAAGGAUUCUAACACCCAUGGAGCCUUGGUGAUGAUCAUGUUUUGCUCGUGGAAGAGGCUUAGUCAAUGGGUCUGCUACAUUCAGAUCCGAUGUAUCUUGCAAAUCUCUAUGUCUCCCACCUGGACUAGAUCCCAGAUGGAAUUGAAGCGUCUCUUGAUGUGCUUGGUUCUCUUGUGAAAUCUGGAUUCCUUUGCCAAGGCAAUUGCACCAGUAUUGUCACAAAAGAUUUUCAUUGGACCCGAUGCACUAGGUAUGACACCUAGAUCAGAUAUGAACUCCUUCAUCUAGACUCCUUCAUUUGCUGCUUCCGAAGCAGCUAUGUACUCCGCUUCACAUGUAGAUCCCGCCACGACACUUUGUUUAGAACUGCACCAACUGGCAGCUCCACCGUUUAAUGUAAAUACAUAUCCGGUUUACGAUUUAGAAUCGUCCGGAUCGGUGUCAAAGCUUGCAUCAACGUAACCAUCUACGAUGAGCUCUUCGUCACCUCCAUAUACGAGAAACAUAUCCUUAGUCCUUUUCAGGUAUUUCAGGAUGUUCUUGACCGCUGUCGAGUGAUCCACUCCUGGAUUACUUUGGUACCUCCAUGCUAGACUUAUAGCAAGGCACACAUCAGGUCUAGUACACAGCAUUGCAUACAUGAUAGAGCCUAUGGCUGAAGCAUAGGAAACAUCUUUCAUUUUCUCUCUAUCUUCUACAGUGGUCGGGCAUUGAGUCUUACUCAACCUCACACCUUGUAACACAGGCAAGAAUCCUUUCUUUGCUUGAUCCAUUUUGAACUUCUUCAAAACUUUGUCAAGGUAUGUGCUUUGUGAAAGUCCAAUUAAGCGUCUUGAUCUAUCUCUAUAGAUCUUAAUGCCCAAUAUGUAAGCAGCUUCACCGAGGUCUUUCAUUGAAAAACUCUUAUUCAAGUAUCCCUUUAUGCUAUCCAGAAAUUCUAUAUCAUUUUCGAUUAGCAAUAUGUCAUCCACAUAUAAUAUCAGAAAUGCUACAGAGCUCCCACUCACUUUCUUGUAAAUACAGGCUUCUCCAAAAGUCUCUACAAAACCAAAUGCUUUGAUCACACUAUCAAAGCAUUUAUUCCAACUCCGAGAUGCUUGCACCAGUCCAUAAAUGGAUCGCUGGAGCUUGCACACUUUAUUAGCUCCUUUUGGAUCGACAAAACCUUCCGGCUGCAUCAUAUACAACUCUUCUUCCAGAAAUCCAUUCAGGAAUGCAGUUUUGACAUCCAUCUGCCAAAUUUCAUAAUCAUAAAAUGCGGCAAUUGCUAAGAUGAUUCAGACAGACUUAAGCAUCGCUACGGGUGAGAAGGUCUCAUCAUAGUCAAUUCCUUGAACUUGUCGAAAACCUUUUGCGACAAGUCGAGCUUUGUAGACAGUAACAUUACCGUCAACGUCAGUCUUCUUCUUGAAGAUCCAUUUAUUUUCAAUUUCUUGCCGAUCAUUGGGCAAGUCAACCAAAGUCCACACUUUGUUCUCAUACAUGGAUCCCAUCUCAAAUUUCAUGGCUUCAAGCCAUUUUGCGGAAUCUGGGCUCACCAUUGCUUCUUCAUAGUUCGUAGGUUCAUCAUGAUCUAGUAGCAUGACUUCCAGAGCAGGAUUACCGUACCACUCUGGUGCGGAUCUUACUCUGGUUGAUCUACGAGGUUCAGUAGUAACUUGUUCUGAAGUUUCAUGAUCAUCAUCAUUAGCUUCCUCACUAAUUGGUGUAGGUGUCAUAGAAACCGGUUUGUGUGAUGUACUACUUUCCAAUAAGGGAGCAGGUACAGUUACCUCAUCAAGUUCUACUUUCCUCCCACUCACUUCUUUCGAGAGAAACUCCUUCUCUAGAAAGGAUCCAUUCUUAGCAACAAAUGUCUUGCCUUCGGAUCUGUGAUAGAAGGUGUACCCAACAGUCUCCUUCGGGUAUCCUAUGAAGACACAUUUCUCCGAUUUGGGUUCGAGCUUAUCAGGUUGAAGCUUUUUCACAUAAGCAUCGCAGCCCCAAGCUUUCAGAAACGACAACUUUGGUUUCUUGCCAAACCAUAUUUCAUAAGGCGUCGUCUCAACGGAUUUUGAUGGUGCCUUAUUUAACGUGAAUGCGGCCAUCUCUAAAGCAUAACCCCAAAACGAUAGCGGUAAAUUUGUAAGAGACAUCAUAGAUCGCACCAUAUCAAGUAAAGUACGAUUACAACGCUCGGACACACCAUUACGCUGUGGUGUUCCGGGUGGCGUGAGUUGCGAAACUAUUCCGCAUUGUUUCAAAUGUAAACCAAACUCAUAACUCAAAUAUUCUCCUCCACGAUCAGAUCGUAGAAACUUUAUUUUUCUUGUUACGAUGAUUUUCAACUUCACUCUGAAAUUCUUUGAAUUUUUCAAAUGUUUCAGACUUAUGUUUCAUUAAGUAGAUAUACCCAUAUCUGCUUAAAUCAUCUGUGAAGGUGAGAAAAUAACGAUAUCCGCCACGAGCUGCAACAUUCAUUGGACUACAUACAUCUGUAUGUAUGAUUUCCAACAAAUCUGUUGCUCUCUCCAUAGUACCGGAGAACGGCGUUUUAGUCAUCUUGCCCAUGAGGCACGGUUCGCAAGUACCAAGUGAUUCAUAAUCAAGUGGUUCCAAAAGUCCAUCAGUAUGGAGUUUCUUCAUGCGCUUUACACCGAUAUGACCUAAACGGCAGUGCCACAAAUAAGUUGCGCUAUCAUUAUUAACUCUGCAUCUUUUGGCUUCAACAUUAUGAAUAUGUGUAUCACUACUAUCGAGAUUCCUCAAAAAUAGACCACUCUUCAAGGGUGCAUGACCAUAAAAGAUAUUACUCAUAUAAAUAGAACAACCAUUAUUCUCUAAUUUUAAAUGAAUAACCGUCUCGCAUCAAACAAGAUCCAGAUAUAAUGUUCAUGCUCAAUGCUGGCACCAAAUAACAAUUAUUUAGGUCUAAAACUAAUCCCAAUGUUAGAUGUAGAGGUAGCGUGCCGACCGCGAUCACAUCGACUUUGGAACCAUUUCCCACGCGCAUAGUCACCUCGUCCUUUGCCAGUGUUCGCUUAAUCCGUAGUCCCUGUUUCGAGUUGCAAAUAUUAGCAACAGAACCAGUAUCAAAUACCCAGGUGCUACUGCGAGCUCUAGUAAGGUACACAUCAAUAACAUGUAUAUCACAUAUACCUUUGUUCACCUUGCCAUCCUUCUUAUCCGCUAAAUACUUGGGGCGGUUCCGCUUCAAGUGACCAGUCUGCUUGCAGUAGAAGCACUUAGUUUCAGGCUUAGGUCCAGACUUGGGUUUCUUCUCCUGAGCAGCAACUUGCUUGCUGUUCUUCUUGAAGUUCUCCUUCUUCUUCCCCUUGCCCUUUUUCUUGAAACUAGUGGUCUUGUUGACCAUCAACACUUGAUGCUCCUUCUUGAUUUCUACCUCCGCAGCUUUUAGCAUUGUGAAGAGCUCGGAAAUUGUCUUAUCCAUCCCUUGCAUAUUAUAGUUCAUCACGAAGCUCUUGUAGCUAGGUGGAAGUGAUUGGAGAAUUCUGUCAAUGACGCAAUCAUCCAGAAGAUUAACUCCCAGUUGAAUCAAGUGAUUUUUUAUACCCAGACAUUUUGAGUAUAUGCUCACUUACAGAACUGUUCUCCUCCAUCUUGCAGCUAUAGAACUUAUUGGAGACUUCAUAUCUCUCAAUCCGGGCAUUUGCUUGAAAUAUUAGCUUCAACUCCUGGAACAUCUCAUAUGCUCCAUGACGUUCAAAACGUCGUUGAAGACCCGGUCCUAAGCCGUAAAGCAUGGCAUAUUGAACUAUUGAGUAGUCAUCAGCUUUGCUCUGCCAGACGUUCUUAACGUCGUCAGUUGCAUCAGCAGCAGGCCUGGCACCCAGCGGUGCUUCCAGGAUGUAAUUCUUCUGUGCAGCAAUGAGGAUAAUCCUCAAGUUACGGACCCAGUCCGUAUAAUUGCUACCAUCAUCUUUCAACUUUGCUUUCUCAAGGAACGCAUUAAAAUUCAACGGAACAACAGCACGGGCCAUCUAUCUACAACCAAACAUAAACAAGCAAGAUACUAUCAGGUACUAAGUUCAUGAUAAAUUUAAGUUCAAUUAAUCAUAUUACUUAAGAACUCCCACUUAGAAAGACAUCCCUCUAAUCUUCUAAGUGAUCACGUGAUCCAAAUCAACUAAACCAAAACCGAUCAUCACGUAAAAUGGAGUAGUUUUCAAUGGUGAACAUCACUAUGUUGAUCAUAUCUACUAUAUGAUUCAUGCUCGACCUUUCGGUCUCAGUGUUCCAAGGCCAUAUCUGCAUAUGCUAGGCUCGUCAAGUUUAACUUGAGUAUUCUGCGUGUGCAAAACUGGCUUGCACCCAUUGUAGAUGGACGUAGAGCUUAUCACACCCGAUCAUCACAUGGUGUCUGGGCACGACGUACUUUGGCAACGGUGCAUACUCAGGAAGAACACUUUUUUCUUGAAAUUUAGUGAGAGAUCAUCUUAUAAUGCUACCGUCAAUCAAAGCAAGAUAAGAUGCAUAAAAUAUAAACAUCACAUGCAAUCAAUAUAAGUGAUAUGAUAUGGCCAUCAUCAUCUUGUGCUUGUGAUCUUCAUCUCCGAAGCAUCGUCAUGAUCACCAUCGUCACCGGCGCGACACCUUGAUCUCCAUCAUAGCAUCGUUGUCGUCUCGCCAAUCUUAUGCUUCUACGACUAUCGCUACCGCUUAGUGAUAAAGUAAAGCAUUACAGAGCGAUUGCAUUGCAUACAAUAAAGCGACAACCAUAUGGAUCCUGCCAGUUGCCGAUAACUUGGUUACAAAACAUGAUCAUCUCAUACAAUAAAAUUUAGCAUCAUGCCUUGACCAUAUCACAUCACAACAUGCCCUGCAAAAACAAGUCAUACGUCCUCUACUUUGUUUGUUGCAAGUUUUACGUGGCUACUACGGGCUUAGCAAGAACCAAUCUUACCUACGCAUAAAAAAUUACAACGAUAGUUUGUCAAAUUGGUGCUGUUUUAACCUUCGCAAGGACCGGGCGUAGCCACACUCGGUUCAACUAAAGUUGGAGAAACUGACACCCGCCAGCCACCUGUGUGCAAAGCACGUCGGUAGAACCAGUCUCGCGUAAGCGUACGUGUAAUGUCGGUCCGGGCCGCUUCAUCCAACAAUACCGCCGAACCAAAGUAUGACAUGCUGGUAAGCAGUAUGACUUAUAUCGCCCACAACUCACUUGUGUUCUACUCGUGCAUAUAACAUCAACACAUAAAACCUAGGCUCGGAUGCCACUGUUGGGGAACGUAGUAAGAUCAUGGUGAUGCACAGCAACGAGAGGGGAGAGUGUUGUCAACGUACCCUCGUAGACCGGAAGCGGAAGCGUUAUAACAAUGUGGUUGAUGUAGUCGUACGCCUUCAUCGGCCCGGCUGAUCAAGCACCGAAACCACGGCACCUCCGAGUUUUUGCACACGUUCAGCUCGAUAAUGAUCCCCGGACUCCGAUCCAGCAAAGUGUCAGGGAUGAGUUUCGUCAGCACGAUGGCGUGGUGACGAUCUUGAUGUUCUACUGUUGCAGGGCUUCGCCUAAGCACCGCUACAAUAUUAUCGAGGAUUAUGGUGGAGGGGGGCACCGCACACGGCUAAGAGAUCAAUGAUCAAUUGUUGUGUCUCUGGGGUGCCCCCCUGCCCCCGUAUGUAAAGGAGUGGAGGAGGGGGCCGGCCAAGGAGGGUGGCGCGCCCAACAGGGGGAAUCCAACUCCCACCGGGAGUAGGACUCCCCUUUUUCCUAUUAGGAGUAGGAGAGGGAAGGAAGAGGAAGGAAGGAGGAAGGAAAGGGGGGGGGCGGCCCCCCUCCCAAUUCGGAUUGGGCUUGGGGGGGCGCCCCCUCCCUUGCUCAUUUCCCCUCCUUUCCACUAAGGCCCAAUAAGGCCCAUAUACCUCCCGGGGGGUUCCGAUAACCUCCCGGUGAUCCGGUAUUGUCCCAAUCUUACCCGGAACCUUUCCGGUGUCCAAAUAUAGUCGUCCAAUACAUCGAUCUUUAUGUCUCGACCAUUUCAAGACUCCUCGUCAAGUCCUGAUCACAUCCGGGACUUCGAACAACCUUCGGUACAUCAAAAUAUAUAAACUCAUAAUGAAACUGUCAUCGUAACGUUAAGCGUGCGGACCCUACAGGUUCGAGAACAAUGUAGACAUGACCGAGACACGUCUCCGGUCAAUAACCAAUAGCGGAACCUGGAUGCUCAUAUUGGCUCCUACAUAUUCUACGAAGAUCUUUAUCGGUCAGACCGCAUAACAACAUACGUUGUUCCCUUUGUCAUCGGUAUGUUACUUGCCCGAGAUUCGAUCGUCGGUAUCUCAAUACCUAGUUCAAUCUCGUUAUCGGCAAGUCUCUUUACUCGUUCCAUAAUACAUCAUCUUGCAACUAACUUAUUAGUUGCAUUGCUUGCAAGGCUUAAGUGAUGUGUAUUACCGAGAGGGCCCAGAGAUACCUCUCCGACAAUCGGAGCGACAAAUCCUAAUCUCGAAAUACGCCAACCCAACAUGUACCUUUGGAGACACCUGUAGAGCACCUUUAUAAUCACUCAGUUAUGUUGUGACGUUUGGUAGCACACAAAGUGUUCCUCCGGUAAACGGGAGUUGCAUAAUCUCAUAGUCAUAGGAACAUGUAUAAGUCAUGAAGAAAGCAAUAGCAACAUACUAAACGAUCGGGUGCUAAGCUAAUGGAAUGGGUCAUGUCAAUCACAUCAUUCUCCUAAUGAUGUGAUCCCGUUAAUCAAAUGACAACUCAUGUCUAUGGUUAGGAAACAUAACCAUCUUCGAUUAACGAGCUAGUCAAGUAGAGGCAUACUAGUGACACUUUGUUUGUCUAUGUAUUCACACAAGUAUUACGUUUCCGGUUAAUACAAUUCUAGCAUGAAUAAUAAACAUUUAUCAUGAUAUAAGGAAAUAAAUAAUAACUUUAUUAUUGCCUCUAGGGCAUAUUUCCUUCAGACUGGUCCCACAAAUCAAUACUAAUCUUUUCUGCGUACUUUGUGCUCACUCAUGCGCAUCCGGGAACAAUUUUUCGGUCGGUCACCCAUCCUGAAAUUACUCCAAGCUGAGCACGCUUAGCUUUGGAGUUCUUUCUGAAUGGGCUCUCAAAAAAAAGGAAUUCCUUAUUGAUAUGAGUAGUCUAUCAUCCCUAAUAAGCCAGGCUAUCACAUACACCCUCACUUAGAGGAACCUACGUCCUCGUCAGGCCACAUGAACGUCCCCUCUUGGCGCAUACGUCUAUGCAUCCAGUCCGAUACAUGUGCCAUGCCGUGUGCCACGACGGGUCACAAAUAUCAUGAACAAUAUGACCGCGCACCUGUCCGCAAACAUCCGUGUAACCACGCGGGGCGGCUCUAAUACCAGCUUGUAACGCCCCGGACACACCCGCCGAUGGUCGUUACUCCUGGCGGGAUCUAGACUGGCCCCAUAAAUCAAUACUAGUCUUUUUGCGCACUUUGUCCUCACUCGUGCGCAUACGGGAGCAACUUCCCGGUCGGUCACCCAUCCUGAAAUUACUCCAAGCUGAGCACGCUUAACUUUGGAGUUCUUUUCGAAUGGGCUCCCGGAAAAGAAGGAAUUCCUUAUUGAUAUGAAUAGUCCAUCAUCCCUAAUAAGUCAGGCUAUCACAAUGCUGCAUGUCUGCAUACCUCACGUGGACAGAUAAGGGUGUGUGGUCUUUUAUCCCUUAAUUGUAGGACCAACCAUGUCUUAGGUAAAGUAGAUGCAUGCAUCGUUUACCGGUUAAUUUGCUAGUUGUUGGGUAAUAUCCUUCAACAACCCAUAUCAUGCAAAAAAAAAACUCCAAGGACCCGCUAAGGGAUGGGAGUAUGUACUCCCAGGAGUACGGAAGAGGAGUAGUUACCCCCCAUAUAGGGAAAAUUCAUCCUACCAUCCAGGGGUAGUUACCCCACAAAUUUCAUAUACUACCAUAUAAUAUUAUAUAUACUACUUAAUCAUUAUAAAUAUGUUCAUAUAUUAUAUAUAACAUAUUCUAAAGUGAGGUACAUGAAAAAAUUGCAAAUUGGCCCAUGAUUUUUAUUAUAUUUGUGAAUACAUAUAUAUUUGUAUGUAAAAAAGAGCAUAUUAAAAAUACGAUGCAUACUACUUAAAAAGUAGUAUAUAUACUAUCUAAAUAUUUAUAUAUACUAUAUACUACACGUAUAUACUCUCUGAUUUGAUAGAUACUACAUACAUCGUACAAAACUCAAGUGGUGGUAACUACCACUGGUGGUAUAUAUUCUAAGUUGAAUACAUCAAUUAAUUGUGACACCUUCAAAAUUAGGAAGCAUAAUACAUAGUACCUCCUCCGUCCCAAAAUUCUUGUCUUAGACUAGACAAAUCUAACACAAGAAUUUUGGGACGGAGGGAGUAUAAAAGAAUUGAAUGAGAGAUCUUUAAGAAAUUAUUUACCCGGUCAAAAUCGGGUGGCCAAAUUAUAAUUGAAGACCUCAAUUGAAUGUGAGCUCUUUAAAAUUAGGAGCUUAGUGUUAUAGAGGAUAUAAAAGAAUUUAAUGAGAUAGCUUUGAGAAAUUGUUGACCUGAUCAAAAUCGAGUGACGCAAUCUUAAUUGAAGACCUCAAUUGAAUGUGGGCUCUUUAAAACUAGAAAGCAUAGUGUUAAAGAGGAUAUCAUAGAAAGGCCUAUGCGGUUCUUCCAGAAAUGAAACAGUUUGAGCUGCUUGAUGACAGGAUUGGAAAUUGUUGUCUUGUCUAGGAAAUGUCAUGGUGAUAAGCAAGUGUCAGUGGAAUUCGGCUUGGGUGGCAGAAUUCCUACGGCAGACAAAUCAGAGCAAGUGUCACCUGCUUGACAUGCAAGCCUAUGGCAGAAUUUUCUGAGAAUGGCUAAUCAGCCGAGAAAUACGCAUAAACAGUUCAUCUGCCAUAGCUCAAAAGCUGCAAAGAUGAUCAAAAUCAUUUGCUCAGACUAAUCAGCCAGGAAAUAUGCAUAAAAAAUUUAUCACCCGACAAAAAAAAUCAUAGCAUUGUUAGAGGCUAAUUGAAUUUUUUCCCGGGGAAAAUCAUUGUCUCACAAACUUUGAAUAUUAUACUAAGACCAGAAGAUCGAUUCUUACACAUAAUCAAAGUGGAAACAAUUUAGUAGUCAAGUUCCUCGAUGGUGAGAGCUGCCGGAUGCUGGAACGUGAGGUGUUGGUCUCCCGAGCAGACUAGAGAAAGGGGUAACAAAAGUCGUUGGUACUGUUGGUUGUUAGAAGCCUGCACGAACAAAGCCGCCGGUUCUAUUAUUCGACUCGAGGUUCCCCGGCCAAAUUUAGCGUGGAGCAAGUCUCGCAAGCGCCGCAAGAAAAAAGUCUCGCAAGCGCCGGCGGCCACGAGAGCAGCCUCGGCUCCGACCGAUCGCCGCCAGCAGUAGGCCGACCUCCGGCGGCUGGCGAGCAAGCCAGUAAGCGCCCACCUCUUGUGUUCUUGCUCGGUCCGUCGAGCUUUUGUGGCGUGUGCCAAUUUUUGUGGUGAUUUCUUCUGCUUGCUCAAUCUUUUUGGUGGUAGUUUGUGAUUACUGAUGCUUCAAAUUUGUUCAGUGAGCCAGCGAGCUGGCGAGAUGGCAGAGCCAGAGGCGCGGAUCACCACUGUGGGUUCUUCAGCCUUCAGGUUCAGAGUAGACUACGAGCAAAGCAAGAAGCUUCCCAUUGGCAAGGCCAUCCACUCCGACGUCGUCUCCGCCGGUGGACACCACUGGAGGAUCGAGUUCUUCCCGCGUGGCCAGAGCGAGGCCGAAAAGGGCGAGUAUGUCUCCAUCUUCUUCAGGCACAUGAGCAAAACCAGAAGGAUCAGAGCCAUCAUCGAGGCCUUCGUCAUUGGCAGCGACGGCAAUCCAUCUGCGCCGGACAUACUGCAGAGGACAUUUCAAACCUUUGAAAUCAACGGAGAUAAAGGCCGCCACGACUCCUGGGGAUGGAAUCGGUUUGCCAAGGGAGCUAUUCUGGAGAAAAUUUUCUUAGCAGAGAGGCACGUCACGUUUGUAUGCGCCAUCAUACUCAUUGAUGACAAACCUGCUAUUCUUGUCCCGCCUUCAGAUAUCGGGACUCAUCUUGGCCGCCUGCUUGAUCGUACUGACGGCACAGAUGUGUCAUUCAUCGUUGGUGAUGAGACAUUCCAUGCUCACCGGGCGGUGGUUGCUGCCCGCUCACCGGUCUUCAGAGCACAGCUCUUCGGUUCCAUGUCCGAGGCUACAAUGUCAUCCAUUAGAUUGCACGACAUCACGCCUGCAACAUUCAAAGUUAUGCUUGGGUUUAUAUACAUGGAUGAAUUCCCCGGAGAAGACGAGUCUAAUGACUAUUCCACUGAGAUGCUCCAGAAUCUACUCGCCGCGGCUGAUCUAUACGCACUUGAUCGGCUGAAGGUUAUCUGUGCCCAGAAGUUAUGGAAUACAGUUUCAGUAGAUACAGUUGCAACUAUGUUAGCUUGUGCCAAAACCUAUAACUGUCAGGAAUUGAAGAACAACUGCAUUGACUUCUUCGCGGUGGAAGCAAAUUUUAAAGAGGCCAUGUUCACUGAUGGUUAUGCUUUGUUGCUUCUAAAAUUCCCAUCGAUUACCGCUGAGCUCAAAAGGAGGGUUCGGGCAUAAACACGUGUAUACUUCAGGCGUUCAAGCAUAGUUUUAGUAUGGUGUUUUGGUUUUGGUGAGUGGUAUCUGACAUCUUGUGGAUCAUAUAAUCUGUAUUUGCCGAGGAGGGAGCCUGGAAGCUAGAUAUUGUAGAAUCAUGUUCUUGAAGUGUUGGGCUUAGUUGCUAUCGAGUAUUGAUACCGAUAAAUCAUAUAAUUGCCAAAUUAGCAACUCAUUUCUCUGUUUUUCUCUUUGUUCUUUUGGUACAUGUGGUGUCAUGACUUUUAAUGUUAACUCCAUGGUGCUAUAUGAUCAAUACGUCAUCCAUCAGGCCACACGACAUCAAACCUGCAACAUUAUGCUUAGGUUCAUUUACAAAGAUGAUGCCGGGAGAAAACGAGCUUCAGGACUCUUCCGCUGAGAUAUUUCAGGAUCUACUCGCUGCGGCUGAUCGGUAUGCACUGGACCAACUAAAGAUUAUUUGUGCCCAGAAGUUAUGGGAAAGUGUAUGUAGAAUUGUAGAUACAGUUGCAACAAUCUUAGGCUGAAACUUACAACUGUCAGGAGUUGAAGAACAAGUGCAUUGACUUCUUUGUUGUGGAGGGAAACUUCAAGGAGGCCAUGUUCACCAUGGUUAUGCGCUGCUGGUUUCUGAUAUUACCAUCGACUAUUGCUGAGCUCAAAAGGAGAGUUAGGGUAUAAUGUAGUAGUGAGAUACAUCUGUGGGUGUAUAUAGUUCAGGUUUUAGAGCAUAACUCUAGUGUGGUAUUUUGGAAUUGGUGAGUGGUAUCGGGUAAGGUAUCCAGCAUCUUUUCACUGAUUUUGUUCUUCCAGAAUGUGAAAAAAAAUGGAGCCGGAGCGAGGCGGCCGGGGGCCCUGCCUCCGCGCGCCUCCAGCUCCUCCCCGCGCGCAUCCCUCCUCCCGCCGCCGUCAGCCUGCGCCGCCGGCCCUCGGCCGCGUGAUGCUGGCGGCGGUGGGCUUGCCCUUCCCCGCGCGCGGUCCUCCCCUGCUCGGGCGGUGAUGGCCGGCGGCGGUGCGCUUCGGCCGGUGGCGGUCCGGCGUCCUGGUGUGGAGGCCGGCGGUGCUCGCCUUGGUGGUGCCGCCUCUUGGCGGCGGGGUGGUCCGGUGGUGCUGGCCGGCCGGGGGCGCGUCCCUGGCCCAGAUCUGGGCCCGUAGGGUUCCCUCUGGGUCCUUGCGGGCCGGCUCCGGCGCGACCGCGACGCUCUCUGUAUGGGGAGGCUGGGGAGCGGCUUGGACUGGGACAGCGACGCCGGCGGCGUUCCAGCUGCUGCGCGGAGGCGGGAGCUGUCCGGGCCUUUGAGGGCCCGGCCGAGCCUGUGGGGCCACGGGCCCGGUAUGCUCCUGCCAUGGCGUCUGGUCGGCUACCGUCGUGGACGGUGGAGGUGGGGCCCUCCCGUAUGCCGAUGGUGCUGUUGCCCUAGUCCCGGCUCCUCUUCUCCGUUGUGCAGACCAUCUUCGCGGUGCUGUGGUGAGACAGCGUGGGAAGCUUCGUGUUCGUGUUGGCGCAGGGUGGUGGUCGGUCUGGUGGCGAGCUCCGGAGUGCCUGAGGUAGAGGCUGGGAUUGGGAGAAAUCUUUGUUGGCUUUGCCGACACCGACGCGGUGGCGCCUGAGGGUGCCGCCGGACCUUCUUGGAGGGCGUCGGGGUUACCCUUCCUCUCUCAUCGCCGUGUACCGGGGGAAACCCUUGGCAGCAGCGUCGUCAUCGUCGCGUCCCUUCUUGGAGGUGUUGUUGGGUACCGGCACUUCGGAGUCUCGGAGCUUGGUGGGUGAUCUCCGGUGGACGCAGUGGUCACGAUGCUUCGUCGUUUUUGUUGAUCUGCCGUUAUCAGCAUUUGUUUCUUUUCUUUUUUCUCUUUCCUUUCUUUUGGGCGUGUUUGUGCUGCUUCCGCCCCAGCCCCUAUCGUUGGUUGUAUCGGUUGGUUGCUUUGUAAUACAAAGCGGGGAAAACCCUUUUUCGUAAAAAAAAUGGAGCCAUGAUUCAAAUUGUUGUCUUGUCAAGAGAUGUCAUGCUUUGUACUCGCGUGUGUUUGUAGUUGUCAUUUUAAUUUUACAUUUAUUUUUGUUUAGUGCUUGAAGCAAAUCUAUGUAGUUCAUGCCUCACAGUCUACCUUUUCUCUAUUUUAAUACAACAUUUGUCGCUGUCUCAUAUGUUCUAUUACUUUAAAAUAUAAAUCAAGAGCUCUUUUUACAAUAUUUUGCAUUGGAGACGCGGCGAGCACCCGAUCAACGCGUCCUUGAGGGCGCGGCGCUUCACCGCCUUGUCCGCAAUCGGGACGAAGGCACCGGUAUCUGCACGGGCCAGACGCGCGCUGUGCCGCCCACCCCCGCCGAGAACGGCGGCUUCCUGGGCAGCUGAGGGGGCGGUGGGAGCAGGCGCGGGGGCAUCCAAACAGGGGGACCCACCCCCAUGCAUCGCCAUGCAGGGCACGUCGUCGGGCGCUUCAUCAGCCAGGUCGACGAUGCCCACCGAGGAGCCAGUGGCGGGCGAGCCGGACAGGGCCACUGUCCAGUCCUCGCUCCCCCCCGCACCAUCCAUGGCCCCAAGGCGAGCGACAGAGCCGGGCAGAGGGGGAGCGCCCAGGACCCGAAGGACGGAGUCGAGGGCACCGUUGCCUCCCCCGCCACCGAAAAACCUGCCGACGGGGCGGAAGGCUGGGACAGCCGCAUCACCGUGACGGCGCGCCUCGUCGGGCCUGUUGUGGGCGAAGGGAGGGGGAGGGAAGCGGAAGUACGACAUGUACUCGCCGUUGUCGUCGAAGGAGCGUGUCAUCGGCCAGACCGCGGCCGGCUCGAUGGAGAUGGCCCGCGUCGCCCACGGCCCGCCCCACGGCCAAACGUCACACAGGAUGUCCCGUGUGCGUUCCAGGAGCACGACCACCCGGAUCGUGGCGAGCUCAUUGCCAGAGAGGGCGCGCGGGUCGACCUCGAGGACGCGCCCGAAGCCGGAGAAGGCGACGGGGAUGCAGAUAGGCGUAAUGAACUCGGCGGGGAAGCCCGUAGCCGCUAGGAGGGCGCACUGGCGAGCGCGCUGCGGCACUCGCCCAUACAGCUCCUCCCGGUGGAGGUCGAUGCGCGCACCCUGGUAAUGCAGGGGCUGGCUAGCGAUGGCUUCCUCCCGGACGGCCCAGGACGUGAAACGGAGGUAGCAGACAUCGACCGACGAAGGGACCGUGUCGAAGGAGAGGUCCCCUAGGUCACGAAGCAUGGCAGCCUGGACCGCGGCCGUCGCGUUGAUGAAGGCGCUAGGCGGUUCAAUGGGGACCACGGCUAGGCGAAGCGCGGCCUCGAUAUCCCCGGCCGGCAUGAAGACGUCCAUGGCGUCCGGGCGCUGCGAUUUGCCCGCAACCGACCCCCCGCUGCCCGAGGAGACCUCGGUACCGGAGGACGAGAGGCGCGAUGAGCUACGCGACGACGACGGCCCCCAUGGCUAAAGCAGCUCCGGCGGCGGCGCAGGGGCCGUCAAGGCAACUACCACCGGCUGCGGGUGGCCCAGCUCAUCCUCCGCGGACGGAGGAGACAGCGGAGGAGAACGCACCACCCCGUCCAACGAGAUAUCUCGUGGGGAGGGCGUGGGUGAGCGAGCCCGCGAGCUGGGUUCCCCCACGUCAAGGCGCCUUGGAGCGAUGGAGGACAGAGAGGAGGGACGCCGGGCCGCAGAAGGUUAGGGGGUUUGGCGGCGGGGAGGNNNNNNNNNNNNNNNNNNNNNNNNNNNNNNNNNNNNNNNNNNNNNNNNNNNNNNNNNNNNNNNNNNNNNNNNNNNNNNNNNNNNNNNNNNNNNNNNNNNNNNNNNNNNNNNNNNNNNNNNNNNNNNNNNNNNNNNNNNNNNNNNNNNNNNNNNNNNNNNNNNNNNNNNNNNNNNNNNNNNNNNNNNNNNNNNNNNNNNNNNNNNNNNNNNNNNNNNNNNNNNNNNNNNNNNNNNNNNNNNNNNNNNNNNNNNNNNNNNNNNNNNNNNNNNNNNNNNNNNNNNNNNNNNNNNNNNNNNNNNNNNNNNNNNNNNNNNNNNNNNNNNNNNNNNNNNNNNNNNNNNNNNNNNNNNNNNNNNNNNNNNNNNNNNNNNNNNNNNNAGCGGCGGCAGCACACCGGAUCCCGGCGGUCUUUCAUGUAGUGGAGCGAGGAGAGGCAGCGGAAGCAACCGCGAAGGGAGAGAGGAGGAGUAGGGCGCGGCUUGGGGCGGAGGGGGGCAGCUGGGGAUAAUAACGCGGUGCGGUAAGGGCUGCCACAGCCAUCCCGGGGAGCGCAACUAUUGGGGGAGGCAGGGGUUUAAUUCCGUCACGGGCCCCCACAUUAAAAGCCCCGUCGCUGUCCGGGUCAGGCGACACGGUGCUAGACGGCCCGAAAACCCCCUGGGCAGCGGCAGCCUGAAACCCCGCUCCCUCACCCGCGGCAGCAGUAACAACUGCCAGCGACCCCGCAACAGGCCCAGGCAAAUUGAAGGGCGAAACGUGGCUAACAGUGGGACAAGGCAGGAUGCCAGGGAGGAGAGACCUUGGGGGAGCCGAGCGCCCCAUGGCCGAAAGGCUACGCCCACGCCCAUGCGCCAUAACCCGCGCCAUGAAGGCGGCAGGUGGGGGAGCGGCCACACGCCCCCCGAUGGCCAGCUUAGCCGCAGCAUGCGCCUCCGCCACCGACAGGAACAGCCGGAGCUGCACCGUCGCGGAAGCCCCGACGCCGGUCUCAACCAUGAGUCGGGCCACCGCCUCGCAAGCAACCUGGACAGAGAAAACCAAGGGCUUGACACCCAAGGCGACCAGGCGGGCGGGGCGCGAAUAGAAGAGGAUGGAAACCAGGGUAGAAACGGAGACGGCGGAGAGAUGGGCGGCUGUCACCGGAACCGUGACCCACACAGUCCCGGGGCAGAGAGACGAGCUACGCCGGCUUGGGAGGGCAACACUGGACCGAAGGGAGGAGAAGACACGAUCCUGGAAGGUUUUACCUGGACGAGGCACGACGCGGAAGACUCUCCCCGUGUCACUGGCCGUCUUGCUGCCGCCGGAGCUAUCAGGGCGACGGCCAAGGGACGGAGCAGACGGCAGGGUGGCUGGAGAGGGGCAGGGGGGUGGUGGAGGGGUUGGUCGGGAAGGCGGAGGAAGGACGCCGGAGGGAUCGCCUGGCUCAUCGCCAGAGCUAUCGCUCGACAUCCAACCAGGGUUCUGGCUCCAACCAGGGAUGAGGAAUCAAUUCACCCGCCUCCGCAGAGUCAUGGAGGUGCGGGGGUUCCCGGCUGUUUGGUGCGAUUGGAUGGACCUCAUCCUUCGGUCCUCUACGGCGGCGGUGCUACUCAACGGGGUCCCCGGGCGUUGGUUCGCGGUUCGCAAGGGCUUGCGGCAGGGGGACCCCAUCUCCCCCUACCUCUUCCUCCUGGUCGUCGAUGUGCUGCAACGCAUGAUUUGGUCGGACGGGGCUCUCCGACACCCCUUGUGCGAGAGGGAGCCGCCGGUGGUACUCCAGUAUGCCGACGACACACUGAUCAUCAUGCAUGCUGAGGCGGGGGGCGCGGCUAGGUUGCGCGUCAUCCUCGACCAAUUUGCUGCCGCUACGGGGCUCGUCAUCAACUUCUACAAAAGCACCCUUGUCCCCAUGCAUGUGGACGCGGCGGUGCUUGCGGCGGUGGUGGCGACAUUCGGGUGCAGCGUUGGCGCCUUCCCGCAGACCUACUUGGGCCUCCCGUUGUCCAGCGACAAGAUCAAGGUCGACGACUUUGCCCCGAUGCUGGCCAAGGUGGACCACUAUCUUGUGGGAUGGCGUGCUAGGCUUCUGUCCCCCGCGGGGUGUCUGGUCCUUAUCAACGCAGUCCUGGACUCCCUCCCUACCUAUGCCAUGGCGGCCAUGCGGCUCCCGCCGGCUGUCCUGGCCAAGUUGGAUGGACUGCGGCGUGCGUUCCUUUGGAACGUUGCGGGUCGGGCCUCUGCUGCUCAGUGCCUCGUCGCCUGGGACCGGGUUUGCCGAGCUAGGGCCGAAGGAGGCCUCGGCGUUCGCGGUCUGGGGGCUCAGAACGGCUGCCUCCUCCUCAAGCUUCUCCAUCGCCUUCACUCCAGAGUGUCGUCCCGGUGGGCCUGCUGGGUUUGGAGCCUGCUGGACAGGCGAUCUCUCCUGAGCCGUGGUCGCUCCCCUCUCUUGGGGGAGCACUGGGGGGCCCUCCUUGGGUUGCUGCCCGUCUACCAGGCGCUCACGCGUUGGAGGUGGGAGAUGGACGGGCGACCUCAUUCUGGCACGACGAUUGGCUCGCCUGUGGGGUGCUCCGGGUGGCCUUCCCCGCCCUCUUCUCCCAUGCUGCCAGAUUGGAGGUCUCGGUGUGGAUGGUGCGUCAGCAAGGUGUGAGGUCCUUGCUUGUACCGCGGCUCACCCCCCUGGCCGCUGAGGAGUGCGGUGCUGUUCAGAAAAUGGUGGAUGGUUACCUGAGGGUCCGGACUCCCGUCUCGCCACGCUGUGCGUGAGGCCCGGCGGGGGCUUCUCUGCUAGAGGUGCGUAUGCCCUUGUGACCUUUGGUGGGGUGGAGGCGGCUCCGGCGUCCUUCCUCUGGUCGUCCUGCGCCCCGUCGCGCGUCAAAUUCUUCGGUUGGCUCCUCUCCAUGUCACGCAUCCAUACGAGGGACGUGCUCCUUCGAAAAACCAUCCUCACGGCUGCGGAAGCGGGGUGCCCCUGCUAUGAGGCGGCGCUGGAAACUGCCGAUCACAUGAUCUUCGGGUGUCUGUUUGCGGUUCAGUUCUGGCGGUGCGUUGGGCUCUCGCCCGCUGGUGCUUCUAUGGGGAGCCUGCACCUUUUCGAUGCUUCGCCCGCUGUCGGCGUUGCCCCUCUGGCAUCCUUCGUCCUCCUUUGCUGUUGCAGGCUCUGGAAACGACGGAACGCUGUUGUCUUCAGGGAAGACUCGUGGUCCCUGGCUGCUACACUAAAGGCAUGUCGGGACGACGCGGUGUUGUGGCGUGCCAGAUUGCGGGAGGGAGACCGCUCUCAUAUCGACGUCUGGCUAGCUGUUCUUAGGACCGGUAGUCUGGCAUGAUGGCUAGCUGCCUAGCUAGAUCUCCUUUCCUUUCCCUUCUGUAAGCUCUCCCUCUCUGUAAUCUGACUCUCAGGGGUUUGUCCCCUUUACGCAAUAUAUAUUCAGGUGGGGGGGGGGGGGCUCCCCCCUCCCCCAGUGAAAAUUCAAAAAAAAAAUAUUUUGCAUUGGUUUUUUUUUGAACACGGUACAAACAUAGACAAUCAUACAUAGGUACGUACACCCAUCCCUAUGAAUGCAAGCAGGGUAUGAGCACAUUCGAGAGGCUAGACCGACACAUCAUCUUGACAUUGACAAAGUCACCACAGGCACCUUCGAGAAACUGGGCCGACACAUCAUUUUGACAUUAUGAACAUCGCCAAAAGCCUGAAAUAGAUCCAGAAAAAUACGAGCACCAGUGCCAAGUCUAGGACCUGAACCCUGGCGAUGGUUCCAUCACAAAGAACAUAACCAUCUGGGGGAGGCUCGGCUCGCCUUUUAGAUUAUCUAUUAUUAGCACAUAUUUACGUGAAUAUCCAUUUCUGAGCCAGGCUAAUAUGCACCCAGUCAAGAAAAAAUCAUAAUUUUUUUAAAAAAAAUCCAAUUGCUUUUUGCAUGGUAGAUAAUUUGAUGUGUGAGGUACGCUCCCAAUUUCAGAUCAUUUAUACAUACGAAUUGCUCUCGGCAAUAAAGAUAAAUUGGGUCAAAAUAGUACAUGAACAGAAAACUUUUUUACAAACCCCAAAUUUGUCUUUUUUAUCGACAGCUACUCAGAUGUCCAAAUGAUCUGUAAUUUGGAGUUAUCCUCACGCACCAAUGUAAAAAAAAGAAUAUUCUUUUGAAUUUUUCUAGUAUUUAUUUUGAUUUUUUUUGUUCAUCGCGGGUGCAUCCUAUUUAUGCGUUUAUUUUAACAAGGUUACCGUCAUAACAAGCGUGAAAUGAUCGAUAUGGUCAACUAGAGGGGGUGAAUAGGUGACUAACAAUUUUUAGGUUAUUUUAACAAUUUAGGCUUAACAAAAAAAUGGUGUCUAUGCAACUAGGUGGACAACCUAUAUGAUGAGGUCAACAAUAACAACACAAGCAAGCACAAGAUAAAAACACAAUAUAAGCUUGCACAAAGUAAAGGUUAGAAGUAACCAUAAGUGAAGUCAAUGGAGAAGGAGAUGUGUUACCGAAGUUCCCUCCCUUUAUGGGGAGGUAUGUCUCCGUUAGAGCGGUGUGGGGGUACAAUGCUCCCCAACAACCACUAGGACCACCGUAAUCUCCUCACGGCCUCGUAAAAUGCAAGAUGUCGUGAUUUCACUAGUGGUGCAUUUGAAGGCGGCGAUCGAACCUUUACAGACAAGGUUGGAGCUCUCUUCAGAACUUAAUUGGAGGCUCCCAACACCACGACAAAGCUUCAUCACAAUGGAAUGUGUCUACGAGGUGACCUCUUCUGUCUAGGAUGCCCAAACACCCCAAGAGUAACAAGAUCCACGAGGGAUUAGUGAAGAAAUCAAAUUUCUCUUGGUGGAAGUGUAGAUCGAGGCCUUCUUCUCCAAACCCUAGAGCAUCAACAAGUUUUGAUGGCUAGGGAGAGAGAUCGAGCAAAUAUGAGCUUUAGGGAAAUUGUGGAGCAAAGGAGGGAAAGAGGUGGUCUUCUUGAAGAAGAAGAAGAAGAAGAAGAAGAAGAAGAAGAAGAAGAAGAAGAAGAAGAAGAAGACCGCCUUUAUAUAGUGAGGGUACAAAUCUAACUGUUAUGUGCCCUCAUCGUGCGUAAGCGAUACAACCAUUUAGCACGGUCAUUUCAACAUAAGCUAGCGAGUAAUGCACUAGUACUAGCGCAGUAGUUCCGCCGGAGCGGUACUACCGUCUAUAAUGAGCGGUACUGUCGCAAUUUAUCGAAUGCCAUACAGAGAAAACAACGGUAGUUGAGUGGUCGUCAAAGCAGAAGUACCACAUAGAGCGGUACUACCGUUGGCUGCUAAGGUACUUCUAUGAUCUUGGCCAAGGGCAACAGAAGACUCUGCCUAAGCGGAAGUAGCCACGGUACCUACUUAACGGAUGUACCGCCGAAGCAGUACUACUGCUUGCGAUACGCGGUACUAACUUUAAAUAACAAGAGGCAUACACAGGCUUCGAUGAUGCACUGCAGUAGAAGUACCGCAAAGACGGUACUACCGCUGCAGCCAGCGGCACUACCGUAAAAUCUCUUUUGCCUAACAGAGAGAUCGUCCGUAGUUCCAGCAGUACUACUAGAGGAUACUACCAUGGUAGUAAGCGGUACUACCGCUAAUCCUCUACUUAGUAAAGCCAGACACAGCAGAAGGAUGUUCCAAAAUGUGGGAAGUAUAUGUGGGUGCAUAUGGUUCGUGUAUGUAUUGAUUCCAUCCAUACCUUUCAAUGCGGACCCCCUCUUAAUAAUACAGUUUUUUAUGACUCAAACAAAACAAAAGUAAACAUAAAAAAUAAACCGUCUUUGCUCCUUCUAUCGCCGAGGAGAGUAAACCGUCUUGUGCCAUAUAUAAUAAUAUUUGAAAUGCGCAAUGCACAUGGUUAGUCCACAAAGUGCAUUGUCAUCAACACCAAAACCUACUAGAGAGAGAUAUGCCCUAACAACGCAGAAAUAAUCUAGUUGUAUUUUCAUUUAGAUAUGAAUUAUUUAUACCUAUCCUUUUACUUCAUAAUUUUUAACUUCUUGGAAGUACAUCAUAUUUGGCUUUUUAGGGAAUUUAUUUCAGAAUUUUAUAUUUUCCGCUCCUAGCAAAGAAAGUAAGUAAAAUGAGUCGAAUUGUAUAAUACAGCUGCAAUGGGCCGCCCUAUGUUGUUUUCCCUUUUUUCUCCUUCAAUUGUUUUGGUCUUUUGUCCUUGCUUUUUUCUUUUCUAUUUUCUUUCUUUUCUUUAGGUCUGGCAUAUGUUUUUCCGUUACUUUUCUUUUUCUAGUUUCAUUUUUUAUUCUGCUUGUCACUUCAUCAAUAUUUUUAAAAUAUAUAAACAUCCAUAAUUCAUUGAAGAUUUUAAAAAUUCAUGAUCCUUUUAUUCAUUUUAAUCCAAUUCUUGAAUAUUAUUCAAUUAAUUAAACAUUUUCAAAAAUUUAUGAAACUUUUAAAAUUCUUGAACAGUUAUUAAAUGCUAAUAAUUUAUUUAGAUCAUUUUUAAAAAAAUUUGGGGACAUUUUAAUUAUAUUUCCCAAUACUUUAAAAACCGACAACUCAUCUUUUUAGAGGCAGACGCCUCCGAUUUUCUUCAACCAGUUUAUCACUUUUUUUUCCUUGUGUGAAUGAAUGUUGUGUGAUAAACCUAAUUGGGUCAGGUCCCUAACGUGUUUGGGCUUCGAUUCAUUGCCACCCAUUCUGAUUUUUUGUCUUCUUUUUCUUUUGUUCAUAUUUUUGAAUAAAAAAAACUAAACACAGAUAUUCCAAAACUUAAAUUUACAUAAAAAACUAAAACCUGCAUAUUUGAAAAAUGUUAACGCGGUGUAAAUUCGGUUAGCGUAAUUUUUCUGAAAAGUUAUCUAACAUUCAGAAAAAAGUUUGUGGCAUUAAUACAAAUUCACGUAUUUCAAGAAAAUGUACAUGAUAUUAGAAUUUUUUUAAAUGUGCAUACAACGCAAAUUUUAUAAAUUUUUUAAAAUGUGUAAUUCAAAAAAAGUUUCGUACCAUUCAAGACUAUGUUUUUGUAAAUUUUAUAAAUUGUUUCAACAAUGUAAAAUAUAUAUUUGCAAAGUUUAAAAAAAUCAUGUCAUUCAGAAAAUGUUUCAAUGUGUAUUUGAAAGGUGUUUAACACGUAUUAAAAAACAAAAACAUCUAUUUUAUGAAAAAUAAUUAUAUAUUUUGAAAAUAUUAGACAUUUAUAAAAUAAUGUUUUAAAUGUUAAAAAUGAAAUAACAAAAAGCGCCAGUGUAGAAACACAGAGAACCGACACCCAAAAAACCCAUUGAAACCCGACAAAGAUAACAAAAAAAACUAAAACAAGAAAACCGAGGGGAAAACGCUACCGAAACACAGAAAACUGAGAACCGUAAUAAAAACCGAUGAAAACCAACACCGAAAACACGCAGAAAAAAAAAUAGCGUCUACCACCCGCUCCCCGCAGGAACCUGAAUUGGCCGGGCCCAUAUACACCGCGGAAUUUUCGCCAGUCAAUUACAUUCUCGCGCUGAACGAGGAUAUCUUCACCUUCUACAAGAACGAAUCCGUCGCUCGCUGUUGCUCCGACACCUGAGGUAGGAUGGCACGCGACACGCCCGACGUGCGAUGGCACGUCUCCUUCGCCGCUGAUCUGCAGACGCGUACCCUCUCGUUCCACGAUGGCGUGUUGGUGCUACGGCGAGAUGCUCUCCGGAUCGUCCUGAUCGAUGGGCGCGGGAUCACGGUCGACGCACGAUUCCUGCGCGCGGGGGAGCACAUCGACAUUGGUGAUGUCAUCUCGCUGCCGUGUCACUUCACGAAGAUUCGGGAGCGGCUACCGGCGACGUGGUCAUCGUCAGCAGCAGCGGCGCACAGUCCGGUGCGAGGUGCGGUUCACGGGAGAAGUGCGGUCCAUCGGGCGAGUGAGCUGAAUCGUGACGGGGCGGACUCGAGCCCCACCCACCGCCCGCCAAUGGCAGAAGGGCGGCACGUGAACACCGACUGCCAGUAGGGUCCCAGUCUCGCCCAGGGCGUGGAGUUUUCUAGAGCGUGCGAGGCGGGGGGAACCACAUCACUUCCCCCACCUACCACUGCGAGCGCACGAGACGCACACCUCGCCCCUCUCUUCGGGCACUUGUGGGAGAGAGCUAGGGUUUGUCCUCCUAUCCAUUCCCCACGCGAUUCCUUCGGCUGGUGGCGCGGCAAGGUCGACGGGGACGGUCGCUCCUUCGCUCAAGUUGUUGCGGCGGAGCGGGCGGGUGGUGCGUCGAGCGCGGCGAUGGGAGAUCAAGGUGGGGGGAGAUCCGGAGGAUGCUGCGACAACACGGCGUGAGGCGGCUUCAACGGAGGGCGCAAGGCACCGCUGCCAAAUCAAACCCGCAAUAUGGUUUGGCAGCGACCAGAUCCACCGCCGGCGGCGUCCGGGGGGCCGAGAUCUGGAGGAGGUGAAGUCGGGGACAGAUGGGAGGCGGCUGUGCACGCGAUGAGCGAGGCGACCAAGGAGACGGUGGUGACCACCAAAGCGGCGCCGCCACCCCCGCCAUCUGCACCAACGUCGACCACCAGCGAGCUCUGCAUCAACUGCAACCUCCCAGGUCACUUCGCUCCGCGCUUUCCUACCAUUCGGUGCGAAAAAAUGCAACAAAUUAGGUUGUAUGGCUCAAUUAUGUCAAACUUUGAGGCCCUGCGAGUGUGUUCCAUCUAUGUGCGGGUUUCAAUCUCCGGGACAGGGCUUUUUCUAUAUCCUUGACAUGUGUGCAUCUAAACAAAAUACUGAAAAAUGAACAAUGUGGUGAUUACUGUUGUGGAAGGAUGUGCUUCUAUAAAAGAGAUGAACAAGAAUUUAAUGCAAUCUUUGCCCGGAAACCUAGAAAGAAAAAAUGGCGCUGCACGGCUCGCUCCAUUAUCCCUACUCAGUUUGUCAUGCACUUUACCAAUGCUAGCGAAGUGGAGAGAGCUUGCUGCUAUGGGAAGCGUAUGCCUCUGAAGGAGGGGGCUGUUGUGGUAUGCAUAACUCCUUGGUCUGCUUUGAUAGGGGCCAAAGGGGUUAUGGAAAAGGCUUGGGUGAAGAUUCGCAACAUUCCCAUUGAAAAAAUAUGUGCUGAACAUAUUGCCUAUGUUGGAGGGCUGGUGGGGAUAACAUUGGAAGUAGAUGAGGCCACAAUCCAUAAACCUGAAUAUGCUAGAAUCUUGCUUAGGUGCAUGGAGGUGAAGAAAAUACCUCCCUCAGCUGAAGGGAUGUUGGGUGAGCAAUAUUAUGACUUCUUUUAUGAAGUUGAAAAAAUUGUGAUAGUGGGGGCUGAUAAGAGCCAAUCCUCUAUUGCUGUAGACAGUAGUGCAUCCCCUUCUUUUUCCAAGAAAGCAAGGACAAACCUAUAUCCCGCUUGUUCUGUUGGGCAAGGAGAAACCAGUGCGUCUAUGGUUGGUAAUUAUUCAUCCCAAAAUUAUGAAAAAGGGACACAACGACUUGCUGUUGUUGCUGAGAGUGAAGAAGAGGAGGACAGUGAUGAGGGAAAUCACACUGAAUUGCUGAUUGAGACCAUGACUAGAGAGCAUGAUGAUGUGAAAAAAAUUAAACUAUGGUUCUCAGACUGGCAAUACAUCCUAUGGGGAAAAUUUCGAGGUGCUGGAGGUGGAGAGAAUGGGUGGGUCUCCCACUUCUGAGAACAACAGUCAGAAAGGUGCAUGGGGGAUUAUUACUCCUAUCCCUCCCGCACCAUUAUACCUCUAUCAUGAUGAAAAUACUCACGGGAAUAUGUUUCCUUCCUUGUCAGACUAUGUGGUUUGGCCCUCCCUGCCUCAUAUAGUACCCCUUGAAGAGGGUUCCACAGAAGAGGGAGAGAAAUGCAGCACCUAUACUGUUGAAUCUCCAAUUGGGUCUCCUAUCCAUGACACUAUGGUCCAUGAGGGAAAAGCUUCACGCAGGCAAAUGCAGAAAAUGGGACGAGUGGAGGAAGUGGCUAUCAACAGGAAGAAACGUGACUCUGAAGGUAUGAAAAUACCCAACUCUAAAAACCAAUUUUCUACUCUAUCUGAUAAUGCCAUUAUAUUACGUACGUGCUGCUCUUAUGGGGGUUAAAAUUCCUGAUGAUGAUUUCUCUACUAUAGAUGUUCUUCGAGAGCUAGAGCAUUCUAGAAAUAUGUUAAAUGAUAAAAACAAUGAUGCAAAUAAUACUAGUAUCACUAUUAAUGAUGGUUUGGGUAAUGAUAUCCCUCUAUCUCUAACCUGGGAUGAUGAUAAUAGAAGUGAGGAGGAACCAUUUAUCCUUGUUCAAUCAAAAGCAAGGAAAAAGAAAGAAAAACGCAGAUGAUCAGGGGUGAUUAUAUCCCCAAAAAAGAUCUGCUAGACAUAUGACAAGAAGUCAAAAGAAAAUGGGAGAGGGUAUGGAUGCUAUGGACCCUGACAGACCCCCCAGAGUGAAAAAUAAGCCUGAACGAUAUAAAUGAAAGGCAUCUUUUGGAAUUGUAGGGGGGCAGGUAAGAAAGGCAUGUCUACCUGCCUCACGGAUAUGAUUUGUGCCAAUGAGGUAGGUUUUAUUGGUUUACAAGAAACUAUGAAGGGAUCUUAUAAACAUUCCUUUUUAGGAAGAUAGACCCAUACCAGAAAUUCCAUUGGGAAUGGGUUCCCUCGAGGGGGAAAUCGGGAGGUAUUCUUUGUGGCCUCAAUAAAUAUAAAUUUGAUGUUCUCGGCUCUAAAUAGGGUAAAUAUAUCCUGCAAAUGGACUUGUUUGAUAAAAACAAGAAUUGUAGUUGGUCUCUCCUAAUCGUAUAUGGUGCUGCUCACGAUGAGCAUAAGCCUAAAUUCAUCGCAGAAUUAUCUUCCUUGUGUCAUAGUAUCAAUAGGCCAUAUUUGGUGGGGGGGGGGACUUCAAUAUUAUUCGCCACAAUGGUGAGAAAAACAAAAAAGCACCCCUAUAUCAUUUUUUCAGAGGUAUUUAACUCGGUUAUCCACCUGCUUGGUUUAAGAGAAAUUCAUAUGGCUAGGGGAUGCUAUACGUGGUCCAAUAAGCAGGAAAACCCAACCCUUGAAAAAUUGGAUAGAGUGCUGAUGUCUCCUGAGUGGGAAGACAUAUUUCCCCUUGCUUCGUGAGCAAGCUGGUUAAAGAAUUAUCAAACCACAACCCUCUACUAUUGGAUGGUGGGGUCGCCUCAUCUAGAGCACCAGGGAAUAGGUGCUUUAAAUUUGAUAAUGCUUGGAUUAAUGAUCCAAAGUUUCCUCCCUUAGUGGCUGAUAUUUGGUCAAGGCCAAUAUAUACUAUUAACCCCAUUGAUAUCCUAAACAUUAAACUGAAGAGGUGUAAGAAAUUUUUCAAAGGUUGGGGGUCAAAUGUGUUUGGGCAUAAUAAGAUUAAGAAGAGACUUAUCAAACUUGAGCUACAGGAGUUGGAGACGAUUGAGGAGUCCACUGGGCUUUGCGGGGAGGCUUAUACUAGGAAGCUCGAUAUCCUAGUAGAGCUCAAUGAUAUGUAUACAGAAGAAGAGCUUCAUUGGCACCAGUUCUCUAACGAGAGGUGGUUGUUGAAAGGAGAUAAUAACACUGACUUCUUUCAUAAAGUAGCUAAUGGGCGUCAUAGGAAAAACGCCAUGAAAUCCCUUGAGUACGGAUCUGUGACUAUAGAAGGGACCAAAAACUUGCUAUCUCAUGCCACAAAAUAUUAUAAAAACCUUUUUGGGCCGGCUCUGGGUAACCUUUGCCAUAUUGAUGCAGACUUGUGGUCUCAGGAAGAGAGAAUUACUCAUGCUGGUAAUGAAGACUUAACUAGACCUUUUUCUCUUGAGGAGAUUAAAAAAGCUCUUUUUGAUAUGAAAUCCAACCGUGCUCCUGGUCUGGAUGACAUCCCUGUUGAGUUCUAUCAACAUUGCUGGGAGGUGGUUGCCUAGGAUCUUUUCUGUCUAUUUGAGUGGUUCUAUGAAGGCAAGUUGGACGUGCAACGUCUAAACUAUGGCAUCAUAACUCUUUUGCCCAAAUCUGCGGAUGCUACAAAAAUCCAGCAAUAUAGACCCAUUUUCUUGCUUUGUUGCCCCUAUAAACUUACCACCAAAGCUAUGGAUAUUAGAGUGAGCAAAUACGCCCAUAAGUUGUUUAGUGUCCAGAAAAAUGCUUUUAUUAAGGGGAGACAUAUUGAUGAUGGUAUUCUCUCCCUGCAAGAAGUGUUGCAUUAUACUCAUAUCAAAAAGCAAGUGGGGGUGAUCCUUAAACUUGAUUUUGAAAAAGCCUACGACAAAGUUAAUUGGGAAUUUUUGCUUGACUACCAUGAGAAGCGUGGGUUUAACUCUAAGUGGUGUGGGUGGGUAUCUCAAAUCCUUAAGAAUGGCAUGGUAAGUGUCAAGAUUAACGAUGAGAUCGGCCCUUACAUACAAAGUGCUAAGGGGGUACGGCAAGGUGACCCUCAUUUCCCCUUUCUGUUUAACAUUGCGGCUGAAUGGCUGACUAAAAUGGUGCUUUCAGCACAAAAACGGUCUCAAUAAAGGUUUAGCUGCUAAGCUUAUUGAAGGAGGAGUUGGUAUCCUCCAAUAUGCGGAUGAUACGGUUGUAUGUUUUGAACAUGAUAUUGAUAAAGCUAUGAAUGUCAAACUUUUGCUUUACCUCUUUGAACUCAUGUCAGGAUUGAAAAUCAAUUUUGACAAAAGUGAGGUUUUUUACUAUCGGAGGGGAUAACGAAACUGACUUAGUAUAUGCAGACAUGUUUAAUUGUCAAGUGGGCACCCUGCCCAUGAGAUAUUUGGGUGUUCCUGUUACAUACUCUACUCUUAAGAACAUAGAGUUGGAUUUCCUGGAGGGUAAGAUGAUUAAAAAAUUGGAUGCUUGGAUUUCUUAUGCAGCAUCAUCAGGAGCCAGACUCACUCUGUUAGGAUCCAGCCUGGAUGGGAUUCCAUCCUAUCUUAUGUCGAUGUUUCUCUUCAAUAAAACUUUUAUUGAAAAAAUGAAUAAACAUCGCAGACGAUUUUUUGGAGGAAAAAAAACAAGAAACAUGGAUACCAUAUGGUGAAAUGGGAUAGAAUAUGUCAUUCUAAGAAGAUUGGGGGAUUGGGGAUUAAGGAUUUCAUAAGCAGAACAUUAGUCUGCUUGUUAAAUGGUGGUGGAAGCUUGAAACAGGCAAUGGCCUGAUGUCUACUACACAACCUUCUUCUUGUAGGAGUUGUUGGGCCUCCAAGUCCAGAGGUUUGUAGGACAGUAGCAAAUUUCCCUCAAGUAGAUGACCUAAGGUUUAUCAAUCCGUAGGAGGCGUAGGAUGAAGAUGGUCUCUCUCAAGCAACCCUGCAACCAAAUAACAAAGAGUCUCUUGUGUCCCCAACACACCCAAUACAAUGGUAAAUUGUAUAGGUGCACUAGUUCGACAAAGAGACGGUGAUACAAGUGGUAUAUGGAUGGUGGAUAAAGUUUUUUGUAAUCUGAAAAUAUAAAAACAGCAAGGUAACUAAUGAUAAAAGUGAGCGUAAAUGGUAUUGCAAUGUGUUGAAACAAGGCCUAGGGUUCAUACUUUCACUAGUGCAAGUCCUCUCAACAAUAAUAACAUAAUUGGAUCACAUAACUAUCCCUCAACAUGCAACAAAGAGUCACUCCAAAGUCACUAAUAGCGGAGAACGAACAAAGAGAUUAUGGUAGGGUAUGAAACCACCUCAAAGUUAUUCUUUCCAAUCAAUCCGUUGGGUUAUUCCUAUAAGUGUCACAAACAGACCUAGAGUUUGUACUAGAAUAACACCUUAAGACACAAAUCAACCAAAACCCUAAUGUCACCUAGAUACUCCAAUGUCACCUCAUGUAUCCGUGGGUACGAUUAUACGAUAUGCAUCACACAAUCUUAGAUUCAUCUAUUCAACCAACACAUAGGACCUCAAAGAGUGCCCCAAAGUUCCUACCGGAGAAUCACAACGAAAACGUGUGCCAACCCCUAUGCAUAGGUUCAUGGGCGGAACCCGCAAGUUGAUCACCAAAACAUACAUCAAGUGAAUCACGUGAUAUCCCAUUGUCACCACAGAUACGCACGGCAAGACAUACAUCAAGUGUUCUCAAAUCUUUAAAGACUCAAUCCGAUAAGAUAACUUCAAAGGGGAAACUCAAUCCAUUACAAGAGAGUAGAGGGGGGAAAGAAACAUUAUAGGAUCCAAAUAUAAUAGCAAAGCUCGCGAUACAUCAAGAUCGUAUCACCUCAAGAACACAAGGGAGAGAGAUCAAACACAUAGCUACUGGUACAUACCUCAGCCCCGAGGGAGAACUACUCCCUCCUCGUCAUGGAGAGCACCGGGAUAAUGAGGAUGGCCACCGGAGUGGGAUUCCCCCCUCCGGCAGGGUGCCGGAACGGGUCUAGAUUGGGUUUUGGUGGCUACGGAGGCUUCUGGCGGCGGAACUCCCGAUCUAUUGUGGUCUGCAAUAGUUUUAGGGUAUAUGGAGAUAUAUAGGCGGAAGAAGUACGUCAAGGGAGCCACGAGGGGCCCACGAGGGUGGUGGGCGCGCCCCUGCCUCCUGGCCUCCUUGUUGCUUCCCUUACGUGGACUCCAAGUCUCCCGGGUUGCUUUCCUUUCAAAAAUAAGUUCCGUGAAGUUUCAGGUCAAUUGGACUCCGUUUGAUUUUCCUUUUCUGCGAUACUCUAAAACAAGGAAAAAUAGAAACUGGCAUUGGGCUCUAGGUUAAUAGGUUAGUCCCAAAAAUCAUAUAAAAUAGCAUAUAAAUGCAUAUAAAAAAUCCAAGGUUGAUAAUAUAAUAGCAUGGAACAAUCAAAAAUUAUAGAUACGUUGGAGACGUAUCAGCAUCGGCAAGCUUAAUUCCUGCUCGUCCUCGAGUAGGUAAAUGAUAAAAACAGAAUUUUUGAUGUGGAAUGCUACCUAGCAUAAUUCUCAAUGUAAUUUUAUUUAUUGUGGCAUGAAUGUUCAGAUCCGAAAGAUUCAAGACAAAAGUUUAAUAUUGACAUAAACAUAAUAAUACUUCAAGCAUACCAAUAAAGCAAUCAUGUCUUCUCAAAAUAACAUGGCCAAAGAAAGUUAUCCCUACAAAAUCAUAUAGUCUGGCUAUGCUCCAUCUUCACCACACAAAAUAUUUAAAUCAUGCACAACCCUCAUGACAAGCCAAGCAAUUGUUUCGUACUUUUGAUGUUCUCAAACUUUUUCAAUCUUCACGCAAUAUAUUAGCGUGAGCCAUGGAUAUAGCACUAUAGGUGGAAUAGAAUGGUGGUUGUGGAGAAGACAAAAAGGAGAAGAUAGUCUCACAUCAACUAGGCGUAUCAAUGGGCUAUGGAUAUGCCCAUCAAUAGAUAUCAAUGUGAGUGAGUAGGGAUUGCCAUGCAACAGAUGCACUAGAUCUAUAAGUGUAUGAAAGCUCAACAAAAGAAACUAAGUGGGUGUGCAUCCAACUCGCUUGCUCGCAAAGACCUAGGGCAUUUUGAGGAAGCCCAUCAUUGGAAUAUGCAAGCCAAGUUCUAUAAUGUAAAAUUCCCACUAGUAUAUGAAAGUGACAACAUAGGAGACUCUCUAUCAUGAAGAUCAUGGUGCUACUUUGAAGCACAAGUGUGGUAAAAGGAUAGUAGCAUUGCCCCUUCUCUCUUUUUCUCUCAUUUUUUUAUUUUUUUUAUUUGAGACUUUCUCUUUUUAUGGCCUUUUUUUCUCUUUUUUUAUUUGGGCUUCUUUGGCCUCUUUUAUUUACUUAUUUUUCGUCCGGAGUCUCAUCCCGACUUAUGGGGGAAUCAUAGUCUCCAUCAUCCUUUUCUCACUGGGACAAUGCUCUAAUAAUGAUGAUCAUCACACUUUUAUUUACUUACAACUCAAGAAUUAAAACUUGAUUCUUAGAACAAAAUAUGACUCUAUAUGAAUGCCUCUGGCGGUGUACCGGGAUGUGCAAUGACUCACGAGUGACAUGUAUGAAAGAAUUAUGAAUGAUGGCUUUGCCACAAAUACAAUGUCAACUACAUGAUCAUGCAUAACAAUAUGACAAUGAUGGAGCGUGUCAUAAUAAGCAUAACGGUGGAAAGUUGCAUGGAAAUAUAUCUCGGAAUGUCUAUGGAAAUGCCAUAAUAGGUAGAUAUGGUGGCUGUUUUGAGGAAGGUAUAUGGUGGGUUUAAGGUACCGGCGAAAGUUGCGCGGUACUAGAGAGGCUAGCAAUGGUGGAAGGGUGAGAGUGCGUAUAAUCCAUGGACUCAACAUUAGUCAUAAAGAACUCACAUACUUAUUGCAAACAUUUAUUAGUUAUUGAAACAAAGUAUUACGCGCAUGCUCCUAGGGGGAUAGAUUGGUAGGAAAAGACCAUCGCUCGUCCCCGACCGCCACUCAUAAGGAAUACAAUCAAUAAAUAAAUCAUGCUCUGACUUCAUCACAUAACGGUUCACCAUACGUGCAUGCUACGGGAAUCACAAACUUUAAAACAAGCAUUUCUCAAAUUCACAACUACUCAACUAGCACGACUUUGAUAUUAUUACCUCCAUAUCUCAAAACAAUCAUCAAGCAUCAAACUUCUCUUAGUAUUCAAUGCGCUCUAUAUGAAAGUUUUUAUUAUAUCCCUCUUGGAUGCCCAUCAUAUUAGGACUAAUUUUAUAACCAAAGCAAAUUACCAUGUUGUUCUAAAGACUCUCAAAAUAAUAUAAGUGAAGCAUGAGAGAUCAAUUAUUUCUUCAAAAUAAAACUACCACAAUGCUCUAAGAAGAUAUAAGUGAAGCACUAGAGCAAACGACAAACUACUCCGAAAAAUAUAAGUGAAGCUCAAUGAGUAGUCGAAUAAUUAUGCAACUAUGUGAAGACUCUCUAAUAUUUAAUAAUUCCAGAUCUUGAUACUUUAUUCAAACAGCAAGCAAAACUAAAUAAAAUGACAUCUAAUAAUAUCAAACAUCAUGUGAAGAAGCAAAAACUUAGGAUCAACCGAAACUAACCGAUAGUUGUUGAAGAAAAAAGGUGGGAUGCCAACCGAGGCAUCCCCAAGCUUAGAUGCUUGAGACUUCUUGAAAUAUUAUCUUGGGAUGCCUUGGGCAUCUCCAUGUUGGGGAACGUUGCAGAAAAUUAAAAUUUUUCCUACGGUUUCACCAAGAUCCAUCUAUGAGUUCAUCUAAGCAACGAGUCGAGGGAGUGAGUUUGCAUCUACAUACCACUUGUAGAUCGCGUGCGGAAGCUUGCAAGGUGAUGAUGGAGUCGUACUCGACGUGAUUCGAAUCACCGAUGACCAAGUGCUGAACGGACAGCACCUCCGCGUUCAACACACGUGCGGGACGGGAGACGUCUCCUCCUUCUUGAUCCAGCAAGGGGGAAGGAGAGGUUGAGGAAGACAGCUCCACCGGCAGCACGACGGCGUGGUGAUGGUGGAGAGGCAGUACUCCGACAGGGCUUCGCCAAGCACACAACGGAGGAGGAGAGGUGUUGGGGAGGGGAGGGUUGCGCCUUGGAGGGUGGUGCGGCUGCCCUCCCCUCACCCCUCUAUUUAUAGGGAGAAGGGAGAAGGGGGCCGGCCCCUCUAGAACCCAUCUAGAGGGGGGGCGGCGGCCAAGGGGAGAGGGGGAGAGGGUGGCUUGCCCCCCAAGCCAAGGGGGCGCCCCCUCUAGGGUUCCCCCCCUCAACCCUAGGCGCAAGGGCCCAAGGGAGGGGGUGCGCCCAGCCCAGCAGGGGCUGGCUCCCUGCCCCACGCAGCCCAUGUGGCCCCCCGGGAGGGGUGGCCCCUCCCGGUGGACCCCCGGAACCCUUCCGGUGGCCCCGGUACACUACCGGUAUGACCCCGAAACUUCCCGUUGCCUGUUUGACAACUUCCCAUAUAUAAAUCUUUACCUCCGGACCCUUCCGGAGCUCCUCAUGACGUCCGGGAUCCCAUCCGGGACUCCGAACAACAUUCGGUAGUCACAUACUAGUCUUCCUAAUAACCCUAGCGUCACCGAACCUAGACCCUACGGGUUCGGGAGACAUGCAGACAUGACCGAGACGCUCUCAGGUCAAUAACCAACAGCGGGAUCUGGAUACCCAUGAUGGCUCCCACAUGCUCCUCGAUGUUGUCAUCAGAUGAACCACGAUGUCGAGGAUUCGAUCAAACCCUGUAUACAAUUCCCUUUGUCAAUCGGUACGUUACUUGCCCGAGACUCGAUCGUCGGUAUCCCAAUACCUUGUUCAGUCUCGUUACCGGCAAGUCACUUUACUCGUACCGUAAUGCAUGAUCCCGUGUCCAACACCUUGGUCACAUUGAGCUCAUUAUGAUGAUGCAUUACCGAGUGGGCCCAGAGAUACCUCUCCGUCAUACGGAGUGACAAAUCCCAGUCUCGAUCCGUGUCAACCCAACAGAUACUUUCGGAGAUACCUGUAAUGCACCUUUAUAGUCACCCAGUUACGUUGUGACGUUUGAUACACCCAAGGCACUCUUACGGUAUCCGGGAGUUACACGAUCUCAUGGUCGAAGGAAGAGAUACUUGACAUUGGCAAAGCUCUAGCAAAACGAACUACAUGAUCUUUUAUGCUAUGCUUAGGAUUGGGUCUUGUCCAUCACAUCAUUCUCCUAAUGAUGUGAUCCCGUUAUCAACGACAUCCAAUGUCCAUAGUCAGGAAACCAUGGCUAUCUGUUGAUCACAACGAGCUAGUCAACUAGAGGCUCACCAGGGACAUAUUGUGGUCUAAGUAUUCACACGUGUAUUACGAUUUCCGGAUAAUAUAGUUAUAGCAUGAAUAAAAGACAUUUAUCAUGAACAUUGAAAUAUAAUAAUACUUUUAUUAUUGCCUCUAGGGCAUAUUUCCAACACUCCAAGCUUGAGCUUUUGUGUGUCCUUAAUUCCUCUCAUAUCACGGUCUCCCUAAAUCUCAAAAGCUUCAUCCACACAAAACUCAACAAGGACUCGUGAGAUAAGUUAGUAUAAACCAUUGCCAAAACCUUAUCAUACUCUACUAUAGAAAAUCACUAAAAUUAUUAUUAAACAUUGCAUACUAAAUGCCUCUUCAUAUUUAAUAGUCCUAUCCUCAAAUAGAAUCAUUAAAGAAGCAAACAUAUGCAAACAAUGCGAACAUAACAGCAAUCUGCCUAAACAGGACAGUCUGUAAAGAGUGCAGCAAGAUCCAUAAUUCCCUAACUCCAAAAAUUAUGAAAGAAAAUUCCCACUGUAUUAAAUUUAUCAGAUCUUAAUAUUCAAAAGGUUUCAACAUUUUAUCACAUUCUGACUUUUCUAGGGAAUUAUUGCGAUAGCGGUAAACUUUCUGUUUUCAAACAGCAACAUGUGGACUUCUAAAAUAGGCAUAGUAAAGGCUAUCAAUGUCACUUUUAUUGAAAUAAAAGAUGCAAAACAUUGUUCUAAAUAACAUCAAGAAAAUAUUAACAAAAUAAAUUGAUGCUCCAAGCAAAACACAUAUCAUGUGGUGAAUAAAAAUAUAGCUCCAAGUAAAUUUACCGAUGAACGAAGACGAAAGAGGGGAUAACUUCCGGGGCAUCCCCAAGCUUAGGCUCUUGGUUGUCCUUGAAUAUUACCUUGGAGUGCCUUGGGCAUCCCCAAGAUUAGGCUCUUGCCACUCCUUAUUCCAUAGUCCAUCGAAUCCUUACCCAAAACUUGAAAACUUCACAACACAAAACUUAACAGAAAACUCGUAAGCUCCGUUAGUAUAAGAAAAUAAAUCACCACUUCAAGGUAUUGUAAUGAACUCAUUCCUUAUUUAUAUUGGUGUUAAACCUACUGUAUUCCAACUUCUCUAUGGUUUAUAAACUAUUUUACUAGCCAUAGAUUCAUCAAAAUAAGCAAACAACACAUAGAAAAUAGAAUCUGUCAAAAACAGAACAGUCAGUAGUAAUCUGGAUCAAACGUAUACUUCUGGAACUCAUAAAAUUCUCAAAUAAACUGCUGGACGUGAGGAAUUUAUAUAUUAAUUAUCUUCAAAAAGACUUAACUAAAUAUCACUCUCCAAUAAAAAAUGGCAACACUUCUCGUGAGUGCUAAAGUUUCUGUUUUUUACAGCAUGAUCAACAAGACUUUUCUCAAGUCUUCCCAAAGGUUCUAUGUGGCACAAACACUAAUUAAAAGCAUAAAACCACAUCUAAACAGAGGCUAGAUGAAUUAUUUAUUACUAAACAGGAACAAAAAUCAAGGAACUAAAAUAAAAUUGGGUUGCCUCCCAACAAGCGCUAUCGUUUAACGCCCCUAACUAGGCAGGAUGAUUUCAAUGAUGCUCACAUAAAAGAUAAGAAUUGAAACAUAAAGAGAGCAUAUUAAAGAAUAUGACUAACACAUUUAAGUCUAACCCACUUCCUAUGCAUAGGGAUUUUGUGAGCAAACAACCUAUGGGAACAAGAAUCAACUUGCAUAGGAAGGUAAAACAAGCAUAGCUUCGAGAUUUUAAGCGCAUAGAGAGGAAACUUGAUAUUAUUGCAAUUUCUACAAGCAUAUGUUCCUCCCUCAUAAUAAUUUUCAGUAGCAUCAUGAAUGAAUUCAACAAUAUAACCAGCACCUAAAGCAUUCUUUUCAUGAUCUAUAAGCAUAGAAAUUUUAUUACUCUCCACACAAGCAAAAUUCUUUUCAUGAAUAAUAGUGGGAGCAAACUCAACAAAAUAAUUAUCAUGUGAGGCAUAAUCCAAUUGAAAACUAAAAUCAUGAUGACAAGUUUCAUGGAUAUCAUUAUUCUUUAUAGCAUACAAGCCAUCACAAUAAUCAUCAUAGAUAGCAACUUUGUUCUCAUAAUCAAUUGGAACCUCUUCUGGAAUAGUGGAAUCAUUACUAAAUAAAGUCAUGAUCUCUCCAAAUCUACUUUCAUCAAUAUAAUCAUCAUAAAUAGGAGGCAUGCUUUCAUCAUAAUAAAUUUGCUCAUCAAAACUUGGGGGAAAAAUAUCAUCUUCAUCAAACAUAGCUUCCCCAAGCUUGUGGCUUUGCAUAUCAUUAGCAUCAUGGAUAUUCAAGGAAUUCAUACUAACAACAUUGCAAUCAUGCUCAUCAUUCAAAUAUUUAGUGCCAAACAUUCUAAUGCAUUCUUCUUCUAGCACUUUGGCACAAUUUUCCUUUCCAUCAUACUCACGAAAGUUAAAAAGAUGAAGCGUAUGAGGCAAACUUAAUUCCAUUUUUUUGUAGUUUUCUUUUAUAAACUAAACUAGUGAUAAAACAAGAAACUAAAAGACUCAAUUGCAAGAUCUAAAGAUAUACCUUCAAGCACUAACCUCCCCGGCAACGGCGCCAAAAAAGAGCUUGAUGUCUACUACACAACCUUCUUCUUGUAGACGUUGUUGGGCCUCCAAGUGCAAAGGUUUGUAGGACAGUAGCAAAUUUCCCUCAAGUGGAUGACCUAAGGUUUAUCAAUCCGUAGGAGGCGUAGGAUGAAGAUGGUCUCUCUCAAGCAACCCUGCAACCAAAUAAAAAAGAGUCUCUUGUGUCCCCAACACACCCAAUACAAUGGUAAAUUGUAUAGGUGCACUAGUUCGGCGAAGAGAUGGUGAUACAAGUGGUAUAUGGAUGGUGGAUAAAUGUUUUUGUAAUCUGAAAAUAUAAAAACAGCAAGGUAACUAAUGAUAAAAGUGAGCGUAAACGGUAUUGCAAUGCGUUGAAACAAGGCCUAGGGUUCAUAUUUUCACUAGUGCAAGUCCUCUCAACAAUAAUAACAUAAUUAUUAUCCCUCAACAUGCAACAAAGAGUCACUCCAAAGUCACUAAUAGCGGAGAACGAACGAAGAGAUUAUGGUAGGGUAAGAAACCACCUCAAAGUUAUUCUUUCCAAUCAAUCCGUUGGGUUAUUUCUAUAAGUGUCACAAACAGCCCUAGAGUUCGUACUAGAAUAACACCUUAAGACACAAAUCAACCAAAACCCUAAUGUCACCUAGAUACUCCAAUGUCACCUCAAGUAUCCGUGGGUAUGAUUAUACGAUAUGCAUCACACAAUCUCAGAUUCAUCUAUUCAACCAACACAUAGGACCUCAAAGAGUGCCCCAAAAUUUCUACCAGAGAAUCACGAUGAAAACGUGUGCCAACCCCUAUGCAUAGGUUCAUGGGCGGAACCCGCAAGUUGAUCACCAAAACAUACAUCAAGUGAAUCACGUGAUAUCCCAUUGUCACCACAGAUAAUCACGGCAAGACAUACAUCAAGUGUUCUCAAAUCUUUAAAGACUCAAUUCGAUAAGAUAACUUCAAAGAGGAAACUCAAUCCAUUACAAGAGAGUAGAGGGGGGAAAGAAACAUCAUAGGAUCCAAAUAUAAUAGCAAAGCUCGCGAUACAUCAAAAUCGUAUCACCUCAAGAACACGAGAGAGAGAGAGAGAUCAAACACAUAGCUACUGGUACAUACCCUCAGCCCCGAGGGAGAACUACUCCCUCCUCGUCAUGGAGAGCACCGGGAUGAUGAAGAUGGCCACCGGAGAGGGAUUCUCCCCUCCGGCAGGGUGCCGAAACGGGUCUAGAUUGGGUUUCGGUGGCUACGGAGGCUUCUGGUGGCGGAAUUCCCGAUCUAUUGUGCUCUCUGAUAGUUUUAGGGUAUAUGGAGAUAUAUAGGCGGAAGAAGUACGUCGGGGGAGCCACGAGGGGCCCACGAUGGUGGUGGGCGCGCCCCCAGCCUCGUGGCCUCCUUGUUGCUUCCCUUACGUGGACUCCAAGUCUCCCGGGUUGCUUUUCUUCCAAAAAUAAGUUCCGUGAAGUUUCAGGUCAAUUAGACUCCAUUUGAUUUUCCUUUUCUGCGAUACUCUAAAACAAGGAAAAAACAGAAACUGGCACUGGGCUCUAGGUUCAUAGGUUAGUCUCAAAAAUCAUAUAAAAUAGCAUAUAAAUGCAUAUAAAACAUCCAAGGUUGAUAAUAUAAUAGCAUGGAACAAUCAAAAAUUAUAGAUACGUUGGAGACGUAUCAUGGUCUAUGGCAACGUAUUGUGAGGGUCAGAUACUUUAGAAACAAAACAGUAGCUGAUAUACGGAGCCGUUUCUCGGACUCCCCGUGUUGGAAAGCUAUCAUGAAAGUCAAAGACACAUAUAUGGCUGGAAGGAAAGUUAAUAUCAAUAGUGGUAACCUGGCUAGAGUCUGGCAUGAUCCUUGGAUAGAUGAUACAGCUCUGUGUGAGCGCUUCCCAGAUCUAUUUACUAUUUACCAAGAUCAAGAAUACACUGUUGCUUCCUGGGUUGCAAAUAAUUAUAAUCUGGAUUUUAGACGCAGAUUGUUUGGUGAGUUGAAUAAUCAAUGGGCUUGGAUGGUUAUGAAAGCCAGGCAGCUGUCUUUGAAUAACUCUUCAGAUACUAUCUCAUAGAAGCAUAAUAGUAAAGGAAAAUUUACGACUAAGUCGGUUUAUGAGUGGCUAGAAAGGAACCUAUCUGGCCCUAACUAUAAGUGGGUGUGGAAAGCCCCUAUCCCACUAAAAAUCAAAAUUUUCUUGUGGCAACUUUUUCAAAAUGUUGUGCUUACAAGAGAUAAUAUGCGGGCUAGGAAGUGGCAUGGAGAUCCUACAUGUUCUUUUUGUACAAAUGUUGAAACAGCGAACCAUCUAGUCUUUACUUGCCCACUUGCCCGCACAAUUUGGGGCGUGCUGGGAAUGACGGGUGGAGCAUCUUGUUGUCCCUGAUCGCUUUGGCAAAGUUGGGCGUGGUUGUAUAUGUUUUUUCCAGGAGGGGAACAUUUCUAUAUGAUGAUUAUCGCUGCUAUUUGCUGGGGGAUCUGGAACCUUCGCAAUAAAGUCACUUUUGAUAAACAUAUUGCUCGUAUUUCGCUGGAGGCUGUUUUCACUACAUGUUCUUUUAUGUUAUAUUGGGCAGGUUUGCUUAAAGAAGAUGAUAAGAUGAAGUUCCAGACUGGUGUGAAGAGAUUGGCUCAUGCGGCUGCUGCAUUGGCGGAUAGAUCCUUUCCCCGCGGCAGACUCCUCCUCGGCGACAAUGAUGGGAUCCAGAUCGGCUAGCUGAGCUUCGCUGGUGUUUUCUGAUCUUGCCUUCCACUGGGGUCUGAUGGGCCGUGACUUUCGCGAAAGCACAACCGUGCCUCUCGCGGAAGCAAAACCGUGACUCUCCCGAAAGAAAAAAAAACAAAAAACACGUUUUGUUUUUCCCUUUCCGAGAGGCACGGCCGUGACUCUCGCGAAAGUACAACCGUGCCUCUCGUGGAAGCAAAACCGUGACUCUCGCGAAAAAAACAGAAAACGCGUUUUUUUCGUUUCCGAAAGGCACGGCCGUUACUUUUGCUAAAGCACAACCGUGCCUCUCGUGGAAGAAAAUUCGUGACUUUCGCGAAAGGAAAAAAAAACGCGUUUUUUCGCGCAAAAGAAAAUUUCAAAAAAAAAUUGGUCGAAAAGCUAAGAAAGACCGGGGGAAACCAAAACGUCGAAAAAACCCGUUUAAAAAGCCGAAAACACGUGCGGAAAAAUAAAAAAACAAAAUCCGAAGGGAGCGUCCAGAGUGCGACACGUGGUAAAUGGCUGAGAGCGCGCUAAGUGGCGCUGAUCGUUGCCAGGCUCUCAAAGAAGCGCUCGUUAACUAGUUGCUUCCAAGAACAGUUCUGUGCUCCUUGUAAAAAAACAGUUCUGUGCUCAAGGGUUUCGCCGCGAGUAGCGGCGGCCACGAGCCCAGGCGACGAGGAGCGGCGGGGAAGAGGAGGCGGACACACGGCGUACGGCGGAUGUUCCGGUGCCUCAGGAGCGUCCGGCAGCGCCUCGGCACCGAUCGCCACCACCCGCAGGACAAUCGCUGUCAUCUCCUCUCACCGAUCGCCAACUGGAUCGUCCGGCACCAUUCAGCAAGCCAGUGAGUGUCCACUCCUCUCAUGCUCUUCUUCGGUUCGUUGAGCUCACGGAUUCACUAGCUUGUGUGCUCUGCAUUGUCAAUUUUGCGGUACUUUCUCUUUGCCUGCUCGAUGUUGUUUUGGGCAAUUUGUCCUUACAUCAACUUAAAUUUUGUUCAGUGAACAGACCAGCGGAGAACAUCAGUGUGGGCUCUUGUGUCUUCCAAUUCAAAGUAGACUAUGAACGAAGCAAGCAGAUUCCCGUUGGCAUGGCCUUCUAUUCCGACAUCGUCUCCGCCGGGGGACACCUGUGGAGGGUUAAGUUCUUCCCGCGUGGGGAGUUAGAGGCCGACCAGGAGUAUGUUUCGAUCUUCCUGGAGCACAUGAGCAAGUCUAGAAGUGUGGAGGUCAUGUUUGAGGUCUUUAUGAUGGGCAGGGACAGCAAGCCAUGUAUGGCGCACAGACGAAGGUUCGUUCAAACCUUGGAAAUCAUGGAAGAUAAAGACAGCAGCGACUGCUGGGGAUGGGGUCAGUUCAUCCAGGGAACUAUUUUGGAGAAAGGUUACUUAACAGAGGGGCAUGUCACAUUUGUAUUUUCCAUCAUGAUCAUCGAUGACAACUGUGUUCUUGUCCCUCCUUCAGACAUCGGGACCCAUCUUGGCCGCCUGCUAGAUCACGCUGAUGGGACAGAUGUGUCAUUCAUCGUUGACCAUGAGACAUUCCAUGCUCACCGAGCAGUGCUUGCUGCCCGCUCACCAGUCUUUAGAGCAGAGCCCAUGUCUGAAGCUACAAUGCCAUCCAUCACGCUGCACGACAUCACACCUGCAACAUUCAAAGUUAUGCUCCGGUUCAUAUACACAGAUGAAUUGCCCCUAGAAGACGAGCUUGAGGACUCUUCCACCGAGAUGUUCCAGAACCUGCUUGCUGGGGCCGAUCGGUAUUCACUGGACAGACUGAAGAUUGUUUGCGCCCAGAAGUUAUGGGAUAAAGUGUCGGUAGAUACAGUUGCAACUAUCUUAGCUUGGGCUGAAAUCUACAAUUGCCAGGAGUUGAAGAACAGGUGCAUUGACUUCUUUGUGGUGGAGUAAAAUUUCAAGAAGGCCAUCUUCACCGAUGGUUAUGCGUUGCUGGUUCUGAAAUUCCCAGAGAUCAUUGCUGAGAUGAAAAAGAGGGUUUAGGAGAUGAUACAGUGAGAUAUAUCUCCAUGUAUAUAGUUCAGGUGUUCAAGCGAUAGUACUAGAUGUGUUUGGGAACGUGGUGAGUGGUAUGUGGCAUCUUAUCAAGCGUACUGGGGCGUAUUGAAUAUGUUUCAUGAGGUGGGAGCCUGAUAUUGCUGAAUCUUCUUGUUAGCAGUAUUGGGCAUAGUUGCUACUGAGUACUAAUGGCGGAGUGGUGGAUGUUCAUCAGAUAUCAGAUACUCGUGCUGAAUGAGCAGCUUUUCCGUUUGUGUUUGUUCUUUUGGCCCUCUAAUGCAUAACUAUCUAUAGCUCCGAUAAUCUAAAUACUUCCUUUGUCAUGGCAAAAUAAUUUCUAGAGUAUAGCCUUUGCAUAGCUUACUGUGAAAUUCUGUUCCUGGUUCAUCACUGAAAUCAAACAAGGGAUAUUCAAAACCUGAAAACGUGGUUGUGACCCUUGUGGGAGUACUGAACAAAUUUUCUAAUUAAUUGACCUGUGUGUUCGAGAGAAGAAAAGGAGGCCCUACUAACGGUUCAGUAUCUUUGCAUAUACUCCUACUACAAUUCAUUAGAGAAAGGCUAGAAAUGUGCAGCUUGUUUUCCGUUUGUGGUUGUUCUUUUGGCCAUGUCGUGUCCUGAAGCUUAUAAAAUGUUCACCUUUUGCUUAUAUAAUGCAUGACUAUCUAGAGCUCCGAGAAUCGCCUUUGUCAUGGCCAAAAAAUCUGGAUUGUAGCGUUUGCAUAGCCCAGCAUAAAAUUCUGUGGAUAAUUUGUUUGAUGCCAACAUUUGGCAUUGCCAAUACUUGGCAAGCCAACAAUUAGCAAUAUCGAAAGUUCCCAAAAAAUGGCAACUUCUUGCGAAAUUGGCAAGUAAACAUGAUAACUAACCAAGCUCAAGCGAAAUUGCCAUCCUAUCUGUGCAGAUGUCAUGGUGAUACACAAGUUUCAAUGGAACUCAGCUUUCUGAGACUGCUAAUCAGUCCAGAAAUAUGCAAAAAAUCAUUCAUCUAACAACACUCAAAAUCAUUUGCCCACACUUUAUCAGCCAAAGGAAUCUACAUAAACAUGCAAAUAACUUGAACAGCAGUGGUAAACAAUGCAUACUGCUCUUGUAAUAGCAAAUAAAACAGUGCCAACAGUCGAUACACACUCGCAUAAAAACAGUAAUGAAUUUACAGAUGGUGUUUCCUGUAACUUUGAUUCAAAGCAUUACACACAGUGGUUCAUGAAGAACAAACUAAAACACAAAGCAGGUGUUGCUGCACAGCAACAGCAUUCGAAUCCCCUCAACAGAGGCGGAUACCACAGUGACCAUCCACAUAUAGUACCACUGUCCACCACAAGCCAGACAAGACACUACAUCGAGAUACCGACUCCUACAGCUAUUAGGUAAUAAUAAAACUCCGGGUAGCUCUUAUUGUUACUGCGUCGGGAUGGGCUGCAUCUCAGGAGCUGUGGCAGGCGCAGGGUCAGCUGCCGGGUAGGCAAAAACCCUUGCGAUGCGCUCCGUUGGGACAAGCGGGAGGUAGGUAGCGACGGAGUUGCCACGCUUAGCACCAUCAAGCACGGCAGAGUUGUACUUGGCUGAGAGCUGUGCAGCUGUGGGGAGGACGGCACGGGUCACUGAGGGGACGAGCGGGAGGCGGUUCAGGGCAGCCCAGGCUUCGGCAGCCUUGCGCUCGGCCACAGGCUCGUAGCGGGUAUACAAGUCGCGGGCCUUUGGCUCAGCGCGAGCAAUGGCCGACUUGGCCAGUCCAGUUGCUGUGCCCAUUAUGCCUGUCUUCUGCACCUCAGCUGCUGCAGAGCGGGCAUAGGUUGGCACCUCCUUCACGACCGGUGGGACACGACGAUCAAGCUCCUGGACAGACUCAUCAACCUGCAAGGCACAAGCACAUGCAGACAUUAGUUACUUGAAUAGCAAUCAAAUGAUUAAAAUACGAUGCACGUGGAAGUGUAGAAAUGAAGAAACAGUUAGUUAACACUGCAUAAGCCUUGCCUCGCGCUAACCAAUAAAUCAGUUGCAAGAACUAGCAACAUCUGAAUUCAAAU
rnacentral:lncRNA from 1 species